rnacentral:lncRNA from 1 species
CAGGAAUGGAACCGGAGAAUAUGAAAUUGGCUCUCGACCCAGGCCUUGCUUUGUUUACCUGUCCUAUCGUAUCAAAUAAGGUUUCCUAGCCUAGCCCAUCACGGUGUCUGCUACCGAAAGAGAGAAUAGGUCUAAGGGCAGCAUCUACUCGUUCAUCGCUUGCCUCACCUCGAAAGAGGCAUGGCUUCUCUCUUCACUCACUCGCCUGUUCGCCUGCUUCAAUAGCAUGGAAGAAGGUGUUCUAAGAGCAUAGUUUCACAUAUACAUGGGGUUCUUUCCAUUCUCUUGAUCAAUAAUUCACUUAUAGAAAGUGUUGCCGUAGCGCGCCCCGGAGAGCAAGCGUAGGCAACCAAACAAAAAAAGGCUACAAAAGUAGCUAGCUAGCGUUUUUAAGCUGGCUGCCUUUUCUAGCGCGCGUACUCUUCUGUGGAGUCGCACGGAACGAGCCUUGUCUUCCCUCCAACGACUAGCUCGCUGUUGAGGCGCUCUGCGCCCAAAUAAAGAAAGAAAUUCGACGAUUCGCGUUUCCACGUGGGUUUUCGAGAGCGCUUCAGCCCCCGCGCCAGCUUCAGAACCGGAAGCACCAGCCUGCUCACCAGGUUCGUUACCCGGCGAGCAUUCGGCUGUGCUUACGAGAGAUACACAAAACAGAACUACACAACUAAAUAGAGCGAAACCGCGAGCAGCCCAAACAGGGCAACGCGGGCAUAAAGCGCGAACCACCUUUUUCAUCUUCCGUAGGGGCCUUUAGUCUUUUGAUUAGAGUAGAGGUCGCGAGAGAGCAGAGCGUACCGCCCUGCCAUAGUCGCGAGGAUCUUAAUAGUCGGUCGCGACUGUUGUCAUAGUCAACGACGGUUGAAACUUCCAGGAAAAAACUUCGAAUUGGGAGGGCGAUCCUCCCGGUGAAUUGACCGUACCCCAAACCGACACAGGUGAACAAGUAGAGUAUACUAGGGCGCGUCGAGAGAACCAUGUCGAAGGAACUCGGCAAAAUGACCCCGUAACUUCGGGAGAAGGGGUGCUCUCCUAUCUUUUGAUUAGGAAAGCAGCACAUACCAGGGGGUUCAAGAUAUUUAAUGCAAUGAAAAAUUAAAGCACGAUUCCCCAUAGGGAUAUGUACAUAAGGGGGAUCUGUAGAUAAUAAUGCUGUUCGGACCUGGAGUUUCCCUAUAUACAGAUUAGGGAAACAUUUAUUCUUAUUCUAUUUUAUUAUGCCAUUCAAAAUAAUGGGGGGGGGGGCAGGGCAGCAAGUCUCUUAUCCAUAUUGAAAGCAGAAGUUUGAAAGUUUUGAUAACAGGUUCUAUGAAAAGCUAGCAAUCCGGGCGGUCCGGGGGGGGGGGGGGGGGCACCGCGGCUCCUCUCUUCUCGAGAAUCCAUACAUCCCUUAUCAGUGUAUGGAGAGCUAUCUCUCAAGCACAGGUUGAGGUUCGUCCUCAAUGGGAAAAUGGAGCACCUAACAACGCAUCUUCACAGACCAAGAACUACGAGAUCACCCCUUUCAUUCUGGGGUGACGGAGGGAUCGUACCAUUCGAGCCUUUUUCUUGUGCCCAAUAGAGGAUUAAGAAGACCCACAAUUCCUCCUAAAAGGACUUGUUGCUUUUAUUGUUCUCGUCUUUGCCUUGGAUCCUCUUCUUUUGCAUGAGAUAGAAAUAAGGAAUUCCAGAAAUCGAGGCUUUUUUCUAACUUGAUGGUAAGAAAUCCCCUGAGAAGUUUUUCUUUUCCUCUUUUCUAAGUGGUUUAAAGGAGGAAGUGAAGUAUAUGGUCACUGCUCAACACCCUAAUAGUGUGAACAAGGCUUAUGAACAUGCUAUGCACUAUGAGUUAGCACUUGAGUCAGGUAUUCGACCUGGUUUAACAACGGCUACCCAAUAUUCGGGGGAUCCCUUUCCCGAGCCCAUACGUGUUUCUGUGGGUCUUAUUAUAACCGGUUUGUCGGGAAAUAUACGCACCCAUAUUUUUCCACCACUCCUGAUAAUUUAGGGCUUGACAGGUAGACUAUAAAGAGAUUCAGUACAGCAAGCCUGACACUCAUAUUUAUUAAUAUAAUGGGGACCCAUUAAUAAGAGAAAGAUAAUAGAGAGCCAUCUGCCAAUAGGCAGAAUAGAUUCCACACUCACUUCAGAUUCUGGGUGGGUAAAGGGAAACGCGCUCUCUUUCUGGAAGUCACUGGCCAAGUAUGACAUAGAGAAGAUGGAUGAAAUUCGAUAAAAGGCCGAAGGCGCGCCUCGAAGCAAGCUCUAUUUGAGAUUAGAGGCCGCAGGCUUUCCGGUGCAGCCGAGUAGUCAUCGGUGAAGCCAAACAGAUUAUAUUUGUUGAGAAAUGCAAAAUGAUAUGGAGAUGAUCCUCAUUAUCUAUUUUGGCCAAUUGUAUUAUUUCCUUGUGUAUUCCUAUAGGAAGUUUUUGUACAUGUGUCUUCGGUUUCUCUUUUAUCAUUUCGUCCAAGAGAAAAAGUUCUUCUAAUUCUAUGAAGGAAUUUUUGAAGGAAGGAAAGCCGGAAAUACCCAAUAUCUUGUUCCAACAGGAUAUUGGGUAUUUCUUUGUUUAUUCUGAAUCUUUCUAUUCUGAAUUCAAUUAACGACGAGAUUUAGUAUCCUUUCUUGUACUUUCAUAACUCGUGAAAUGCCGAGUAGGCACGAAUUAUCGAUACAACAACGUAUUGGUCCUGAAUAUGCUGGCCCCCUGGGACUGCUUCAAGCUAUAGCAGAUGGAACUAAACUACUUUUAAAAGAGGAUAUCCUCCCAUCCCGAGGAGAGAUUCCUUUAUUUAGCAUUGGUCCCUCUAUAGCAGUCAUAUCUGUUUUAUUAAGUUUUUUAGUUAUCCCUUUGGGAUAUCGUUUUGUUUUAGCUGAUCUUAGUAUUGGUGUUUUUUUAUGGAUUGCGAUUUCAAGUAUUGCUCCUAUUGGUCUUCUCAUGGCAGGAUUGAAAAAGAACCACUUAUUUUAUUGAGUUGGUAAUUGACGAGCAUUUACUCUCUUUUUUAAUCCUUUUUGAAGAGUCCCUUCUGACGUGGCUUUUUGAUGAGAAGAAAGUGAUCAAAUUAGAAAACGUUUGCCCUGCAAAACCAAAGUAAGUCCAAAGGAAUCUUGCUCGCUCCAACGGGGAAUUGCUCGACGAGAAGAAGCUGGUUGGUGUUCACUCACUUUCAUGCAGCGGUAUGUACUACCUUUGCUUCAUCAAUCCCUACGGAUCAAUCUAGCAAUCAUGGAAUCCAUAUUCUGUUUACUGAAUCACAUGAAAUUCUAGGGAACUCCACAUACGUAUUUCAUAUAUGUAUUUCAUACAUAUGAAUAGAGACGAUUUCGACGAAAGUUCGAAUUUCGCAGGGGUCGAAAUGGAAUAAAAAUGAAUUGAUAAAAACGUAUUCGUUCGGUUGCAGAUCUGUUACAAGAUCAAUUCGGACUGGCUCUUGGCCGUUUACAACAUGCGGUUCAAAAAACUAUCCGUAGAGUAUUCAUACGUCAAUCGAAACCGACUCCACAAACUUUGGUAACUCCAACUUCAACUUCGAUUUUAUUAAUCACUACUUAUGAGACCUUUUUUGGCACAUACCCCUUAGCUCAAGUUUUUGAUCAAACCAAUCCAUUGACACAAACGGUUCAUGGGCGAAAAGUGAGUUGUUUGGGUCCUGGACCGUAUGAAGCUAAGGUUUCAUGUACGGUUUUGGAAUAGCGGUGGAAACUGUGAUGUUAUCAUCGACUAUGAUUAUCUAAUAGUUCAAGUACAGUUGAUAUAGUUGAAGCACAGUCAAAAUAUGGUUUUUUGGGGUGGAAUCUUUGGCGUCAAAAGCUACAAUAAAAAAAUUUGUACUAAAGCAUACUAUAUUAUAUGUUCACUAUGUAGAUCUACUUAUAUGGAGUCCAACAAAAUAAGAUUUACUAUUUUAUGAAUUUUAUGUGAUUUACUAUAAUUUUACAAAUUUUUAGCCAAAAUAAAUAAAAAUAAAAAAGACAAAACUGCCUUCAAAACCGCUCAUAAGUAUGUCAAGGACGUAAUAUGCAUAGUUUCAAAAAUUGAGAGAUAUAUUUUACCCGGUUUUGAAGUUCAGAGAUGAAAAACAGAUUUUUGCGAAAGUUGAGGGACCUAAAGUGGAUUUCUUUCUGUCAAAAAUCAUUGCACGGGGACAAAACGCCCCUCUCUCUGAAGAAAAAAAGGUCAAUGUUGCUCUGUUGACUACCGUCCCUGAAGGACAGUUAUGGUCAUGGAGUUCCUGGAGGUCUGCACAUCGUCUCCUUCUAGUGACUUAUUACAAUUCCUCUCCGCGAAGUACGCCGGCUGUUCCGGCGCCGGCAGAGACACGCUCCCGUUCUCCAGGAUGGACACCACGGACGACAUGAGCGGCCUGCCGUUGGGGUCGUCCUGGACGCACAGGAGCCCCACGUGGACGCAAAGCAAGGCUUCGUCGAGCGCACAGCUCUCCGCGACGGAAAAAAAUUGCGUGGACUCCGGGCUCAUUCCAUGGAGGAUGAGCCCCCUCCCUAGAUGCACGACGCGUGGCGGCGCUUUUAAUCUGACGAGCAGCAUUGACUCGGCUCUCUCGGCAGCUCGUAUACGGAGGUCGUCGGCUCCCUCGGCUCCACGGUCCACUGUGGCUUCUAGGUUGUGGACAUGAGUGCGGCUCCGUCGGCUCAGAUUCGGAGCAGGAUGUUGCAGUGGCGGCGGCGGUGGCUCACGACCGUGUCGCACAGCAGCAGGUGGUCCAAAUCGUCUAGGAGGAGACGUGCCCACCACGCCAUGCUGGAUGCCCGCCGUGAAGACUGCACGCAGCUCGACGCCAGCGGCGGCGGCGGCAAUAGCAGCGGGUCUACGCCGGCCUCUAUGGCCAUAUGCAGGACAGCAGCAGGUUGUCGAACAUAGUCAACAGCAGGCGUGUCCACCUGGGCACCGCUGCUGCCGCAUCCUGGUUCUGCUAAUAUAGCUGAAGCAUUUGUUUGACUUGUUGUUGGUUCUUGGUUCAAUCAACAACAACAUAGAUGAAAAAAAAGGCGAGAUCAUCUAGUAAACAAACAAACAUGUUAGCUGACGAUCUUCGUCAUCUCCACGAGUACGACCAACACCAUCAAUUGAUAAUGCGCAUGAAGCCUCCGGCCGUCAUGGAAGAUGUGUUGCCAUUAAGUUGGUAAUGGCAGUUGUGAUGUCUUCUUGAUCUCCAACGCCGGCCAUCGAGGUUGAUUGAUUCAUCGAAGUGCCGCUGCAGCGGCGUGCAACUACCUGCACGAGCGGCGGCGUGUGUGUGACUACGUGCACGGUGGAGACGACAGCAUGCAACUGCUUGCAAGCAGCGGCGGUGUGUGCACCUGCAUGCACGGCGGCGGCGGCAUGCAACUGCUUACACAGGUUACUUUGCAGCGUGCAACUGCUUACGAUGAUGAUGGCACUAUCUAUUAGAGAAGUUUUGAACACAACGGCGGUGUGCAACUGCUUACGGUAAUGAUGGCACGAUCUAUUAGAAAAGUUUAAAUCGUAUGUGUAGGAGCCAGCCUUGGAAGAGCCGAGCGGAUAGGAGCCAGCCGACCUUGAAUGUGUCUACGAGCUGUCGAGGGAGCCAAGGAAACGCUGCUCGUCAGAUUAGAAGCGCCGCCACGCGUCAUGCAUCCGGGGAGGGGGCUCAUCCUCCAUGGAAUGAGCCCAGAGUCCACGCAAUUUUUUUCCGUCGCUUGGCCAUACCGAAGUCCGCUAUCUUAGGUCUCAUCUCUGCAUCCAACAGAACAUUACUCGCUUUGAGGUCCCUGUGUAUCACUGUCAGUCUUGAAUCUUGAUGGAGAUACAGGAGCCCCCUAGCCACCCCCUUGAUUAUCCCCAGUCUUGUUGGCCAAUCCAGCAGUGAUUUCCUUUCGCUGUCUGCAAUGAACAACGAUAACCACACGGGGGAAUCAUGUUUGCUGCUUCAGUGGUGACGUUUUAGCAUCUUCAGUUAUGAUGAUGAGUGCAACAUACCGAAAAGGAUUGCAUCUAGGCCUUUAUUGGCCAAGUACUCAUACACCAGCACCCUCUCGGCUCCCUCUGUGCAGCAACCGAGAAGCCGGACCAGGUUCCGGUGCUGCAGUUUGGAGAUCAAGGUAGCUUCGUUCUUGAAUUCCUCUAUUCCUUGUUCAGAAUCCUUGCUGAGCCUCUUGACAGCGACCUCGCGACCACCUAAUAAUGUCCCCUUCAGAAUAGCAGAACAAUAACUGAGUGUUGACUCCUGAGUACCAUUCUCAGUUCGUGAGUUCAGAUUUGGAAAAGGAUAUAUACGCGGCAGAGAACGUGAUGUUACCUUGUAAACUUUCCCAAAACCUCCACGCCCGAUCAUACAUGCUCUUGAGAAGUUAUUCGUCGCCGCGACAAUAUCACUGAAUUGCAUGGAAGGGAAUUCGAGAUCUUCAUUAGGGUUAGGGGUUCGUUCUGCAAGCUCACUUGAUGUUCGCACGCUACUACCGGGAACCAACUUCUUCUCACUUUCAUUGCUUCUUUUUUUAUCUGAAAAAAAUUGAUGUGACUAGCAUUGAUCUUUUUCUUUUUUGUGAGAAGUGAGUAGCAUUUAUCUUGUGAUAACAUAUAUCUGACAAAAAGAAGAGAAAUAUAUCAAUGUACCUCUGGUCUUGCAAAACCAAACAAGUAAAAUGCACGAAAGCAUAAAAAUGCUUGCCAACACAGGUAGUAGAAUUCUCACAAUUUUUGACCUUGUCUUUGUGCCUACACAAAUAAGUGGGUAAGUUUGGUGAGCAAUUGCAAGAAGACGCUGCCCUCCGAAGAAUAUAUUCCUAUUUUGAAACAAUGACAUGGGGGCGGGAAAUGUUUUUUUUUUUGAAAACCGUGUGCCGUGUCUAAUCAUCGGGAAAAGAAAAGAAUAAAUGCAUAAUGGAGUAGAAACGAAAAUUAGAACCUGCGAAUCCUGCAGGAACGCGGAGGUGGAGCGUCUCAGCAGUGAUGCCCCAGAGCACGCCGAUCAUCUGCGUGUCGACGAGUUCACCGGUCCACACCAGACACCGCGCCAUGUCGCCCUUGGCGCUGCUGCUGCGCAGGUUCGCGUACGCGUACGCCACGCAGGAGCAGUUCCGGCGGCACUCCGCCGCGCACUCGUCGCCGGAGCUCAUGUUCCCCAGGAGCACGAACUUGUCCGGCACCUUCAUGUUGGGCAUCGCCAAGAACGCAUCCCCCUCGCCGCCGCCGCAGGGUGCCAGCGCUUGGCUCCGGCGGCAGCCUGCCGAGAACACGCCGCCGCUCCACUCCGCCUGGCUCGCCGGCUCGAAGCCGUCGAGGCACUUGCACGUGGCCACGGGCAGCGUGUUGUCGCAGUAGCCGUAGGCGCCGCAGCUGCCGUAGGGGCUGCAGGAGCGCGACGGCCAGGACUCGAGCGUGGUCCACGCGGACGCGUUUAACCUGCCGUCGCCGGUGACCACGUACCGCGUGGGCGGCGCGCCGUCGUUGACGUAGAAGGUCAUGUAUAUCUCCUCCUCGCCGUCGACGACGGCCACGUAGAUGACCGUGCCGGUGGUGGCGUGGUACCUGCUGACUGUCAUGUACCCCGUCCAGGCCGAGCUGCGCCAGUAGGCGCGCGUCCCGUUCCACACCAGCAUCUGCAGCGACGUGCUCGGGUCCAUGCCGUACGAGAAGGCCCCCGGCGACGGGUCGCCGGGGCCCCUCCACGACACGAUGCGCGCGCCGUCGUGCGUCCGGUAGCGCAGCCCGACCUUCAUGUCCGGGAUGAACGUGUCCGUAGGGUGGUCGAAGCUCUGCCACAGCGUGGUGCCGUUCGGCGACCGGAGGACGAGGUUGCCGGAGUUUAGGAGCACGGCCGUCGUCGGACCACCUGAGCUCGUGGUGUUAGGUUGAUCUCUACCGGCCCAAGUCCAAAGACUGGGCCGGACCCUUGACCACGUCCUGAUCGGGGACAUUCAGUCCUCUAUGGGCUGGUGGCCCCCCAUCGCGCAGUGUAUAAAGAGAGGGUGGGGGCUAGGGCACAAAGGACGAGGUUCAUCGCAAUAGUGCCGCUAGACACACCUAACCCUAGACCGAUCGAGGGGAGGCACUGCCAGCGACAGGAAGUCCGCCGCCGCCGCCACUGCCCCGACCACGAGCUUCUCUACCGACACGAAGGUAUGGUUCACCGUCCUAUUCUCUCUUUCUCCCCGGAUCUAUCUCUUCCUCCCCGGAUCUAUGCGAUUCCAAGUUGUUUAUCCUAAACAUAAAGUAAAUACCCACUGAUCUACACCUAGAACGAUCCAAAGAGUCUAACAAUGGUACCAGAGCCGGUUUUAGUUGUGUAGAUCGGUCAUGGAAAAGAAAGAAAGAAAAGGUGCAUGAAUUUCGAUUCGGACAGAAACCCUAGAUAGAGCCUUUUGGGAAGAGUUCCUAAGCCUAAAGAACACAGAAGGGAGGGAUCCGAUCCAAUCGGAUCGAAACCCUAACCUUAACCCUAGAACAGGAAGCAAAGGACAGGGGCUCACCGUUCGGCUCACCUAUCAAAGUCGUCGUCACCAUGGUGCGAAGAGUAAUCGUCACCGCCGGCCGCUUGAUAGGCCGCGCGGGAAGUCGUUGAGCAAGCGAUGGGACCGGGAUCUGGGCACCGUCGCAAGGCACCUCGACGGCGGCGCGCUCAGCCUCGAGCGAGCGCACGCGCCGGCGAAGAGCUCCACGGCGGCGCCACCACCGCUCUCCUCCGGCCGCACCGCGGGCCAUCGCUGCGCCAUUGUUUUCGGGUGCUAGUGGAAAGAGCAGAAAGGGAGGGGGAAAGGGAAAAGGAAGAGCUGGCGACGGAGAGCAAGCUGGACACGGUCCUGCGGUGCUGCUCCCUCACCGGCGACGGCGGUCUCUCUCUGGCUCACUCAGCCGCCGUCGGCUGAAGAGAAGAAAGGGAGAUGGAGAAAGAGACUAGGGUUUCUGUAGAGCCGGCCAGGGGGUUUUGUUUCUCCGAAAUCCUCUCCCGACCGUCGGAUCACAAUGGAUGGCUCAGAUCGGCCGCGAGCUUGCUGGGCCGAAUUCGGCCCAGGCGGGAUGGAGAAUUCCCGGCCCAGGCCCAGGUUGCGGCCUGGGCGCGGGGAGCGCUAGCGGGGGGCUUGGGCCGAAAUGGCCAUUCGCACAGUAUUCUACAGGUUUUCGUUUUUUUCUGUUUUCCAGAAGCUUUUGAAUGCAGUUUUGAUAAUUCUGCAAUAGUUUUGGUGCUAUUUUGUGUACAAUUUUUGUCCAAAAUAAUUUUAUUCAGAGAACAGUAAAGUAUUUAAAGUGUUUUUGGAAAAUAGAAUUAAAAAGUUCAUUAAAGUUUUCGCUGCGUACUUACAGUUAUUUAUUUAUUUUUCAUCAUUAAAUUCGAACCAAAGGGAGAGUUUAAUUUUGAAAAAUGGAUAAAAUCACAGAUUAUCAUAAUAUUGUUAUUAUUUUGACCAAAGUUGAUUAAUAGCAAUAUUAUGAUAUUAUUAUGUUUUUAUUUUGUCAUGCAUUAAUUCUAUUUCUGCCCAAAGGUGAUGUAGAAUUAGUGUAAGAGAAUUAAUUGUAUGUCAUAACUUAAUUUGAAGAGCAAUUAUAGAUAUUCAAUAAAUUAUAAUAUUGUUAAUUUUUUGACCAAAGUCGAUGAUAACAAUGUUAUAAGUUAUGUUUAAAGUUUAAGUUUCUGACGAAUUCGUCAGAAAAUGGAUAAAGAUCUAGAAAUGUUCCUGAAAAUAGAAAAUAGUAUUUUUCACGUUUCCGCUGUAAAGAUGAUUAUGAUGCAGUCCUUUUCUGAGCAAAGUCUUUAAUAGUAAUGUCAUGACAUUGUUUAUUAAUCAUAUGUAUUAAUUCUAUUUCUGCCCAAAGGUGAUUUAGAAUUGAUGUAGAAGAAUCAUGACAUUGUUUAUCAACUAUAUGCAUUAAUUCUACUUCUACCCAAAGGUAAUUUAGAAUUGAUGUAGAAUGAUGAUUUAUUCUAUUUCUGCCCAAAGGUGAUUUAGAAUAUAAAAGGAAAGAUUUAAAAUUUUAAUGCGCAUGUCUUUAACCAGACCAAUGUAGGGUUAUUUUCAUGCUCAUUAUUAUUGAUCAUUUGUUGAACGUGUUUUCAGAAAAGGAUCUCCAUGCUUUCAUUCUUGAAGGUAGCAAAGGAAAGAACUGGGUACUUGUGACUCAAAAGUGAAAAGUGCAAGUCUGCAUGAAAGAAGGCCAUUAUAUAAGGGACAUUGUUCUCCUUAAAGAAUGGCUUGAAAAGAAAGGAAUUCAGGGGCAUUGGUCCAAGAAAGAAGAUAGAGCAAUAAAAGUUUAGUUUAACUUUUAUGUACCCUCUAUGUAAAAGAGUUUUUUGACUUCAGUUUAACUGAUGAAAGUUGUAAAUGCAUGUUUAAUUUUGACCAAAGUUGGAUUAAACAUGUGUGUUAAAAGAGUUCACAGAUUUAUUUCUGAUUGAAAAUGUUGAAAUCCAGUUAUGGCAUUUAUGUCCCUUAUAGGGAGUCAUCUCGCAAGGCGGGAAAAGUUUUGGCAUAGUGCUCAUCCUGCAUGGCAGGAAAAAGAAAGUUGCAUAUGAACCAAAAGAUAAGAGUGACGUGCAAGUAUGACUUGCAAAAGUACUGAAGGACUAUGUUGAAGUUCUUGAAAUGAAAUGAGGAAAGUAUACUCCCAAAAAGAUUUAAGAAAUAACUCAGUUUUACAUGACACAAUCAUGUGAAUGAGUAAGCAUUCAAAGUUUUCUCAUUCUCAAGAGUAAUAGAUAGUUUCAAAAUUAUGGUAAUAAAGUUCAUGCCACAUUUCUAGGGGGAGGAUUGAAAGAUACUCUUGAAAGAUACUCCCCAAUUCCCUAAUGUAUGGUAUGCAUUGAGGGUAAAAGUGAUAAAGGUGAUCUAUAAAUGAUGAACAUUAUUGUUGAGGGAGUACAACAAUCAUAAUAACGAUACCCCUAAGCAGACAAAGUACAAGGAUGGUGCUUAAAGUGACCAUAUGAAGAUUCAACAGAUUAAACCCAAAUAAGAAAGUUAAAGACGGUGUAAUCUGGGGGAGCAUGGUAUGUAUAGAUCUAAGACUUGAAGAGAAGUGAGACUACGUGCUCACUCCAAUGAUUCAAGAUCGAUAAAUUACUUAAUACCAUGUUGAUGUUGUAUGACUUGUACAACACUGUUGUUGGCUCUUCAAAGAUGUACAAUGUAAACAAGGAUCUUGUGAUACAGGAGCCUAUAGAAUCAAUUGUCACUUGGCAAUAAAAGAGCAACAACAGUCCCACAUGAAAGAAGUGCCCAUUAGAAAAGUCAGUAUUGACUAUAAAGUAUACGCUAGUAAAGAAACUCAAAUAGAGAAUGAUCCCAUCUCAUUUGAAUAAGUCAUGAGAAGCACUCACUCAUCCAAAUAGCAAAAAGCUAUGGAGGAUGAGAUGAAAGAAAUAAGUACCAAUGGUGUUUUGGGACUUAGAAGUUCCUAAUGGAGCCAAAACAGUACACUGUAAUGGGUCUACAAGAUAAAGCGUGACUCCAAAGGGAAUAUAGAAACAUAUAGCGUGACUUAUGGCAAAAGAAAUGAACAGGUUACAAUAAGUAUUAGUGGCACACUACAAUUCAGAGUUACCCUAGAUGAAUGUAAAGAUGGCAUUCCUUAAUGGGGAUUUAUACGAAAAGCAUACAUGGCACAAACUAUUGGUUUUGUCAUGGAUGUAAAGAACAUAAUGUUGACGGUCCUUAAGUAUCAAAUUUAAUUAUCAAAUAAAUAAAGAAAAGGAUCCAAAUGAAAUCAAGAUCUAGACUUAGGGUUUUAUUUGACAGAAUUCCACGAGUUUUGAUGUUUGUCUAUUUCUGCAGGGGGUUAUCAAGAAAUAUGGAAGAAAGGCCCACAUGACAGGAUUACGUAAAGGUAUUAACGUGUUGCGCAAUUAUCUUACAUCUAGAAGACUCCAGAAGCCAUGAGACCGAAGCGGAGGCGAAACGGGGCCAGAGACAGGGCGCCCGCCCUGUCCUACUGGGCGCCCGCCCCCUCCAGGAGUCCAAUCAGGACUCUGCUUUGCGGGAGAUCUCCACCGACCUAAAGGAUGAAUCUAAACCAGACAAUCUAUGUCGGUUUGAUCCAAGGGCCUGUAUUCACUUGAAGGGACUAUAAAACCAGACCCCCUGGCCCCUGGAGGAGAGAGAGCCUCUCAACCCUAAUUCAUUGUUCCAUCAAGGGAGAAGAAGCCUCUGAUCAAGAUUAGAGCCACCACAUCAAUUAGAUAUCUAGAUUAGCAUAGCUACAUAGGAUUAGAACUAGAAGGAGUCAAUCUUCGAUUGGUUUCCGGAUCUGUCAAGAGGAUUCUUGGUAAUUCUCUAAUUGUGCUUCUAAUUGCUUUCUAAUUAUCUUUGUUCUUCAAUAUUAUGAAUAUGACUUUGUUCUACUUCAAUAUAUUGCUUAUGACUUUGCUCUACUUGCUUAUAUUCAAGAUUAUAUUGUUCUUAGUUUAUCAUAGUUAUGUACUUGGCUUAGUUAGAUUCGAUCUAUAUACAUGCUUAGGAUCGUAUAGCGUUUAUCCAUCGGAUCCAUGGGUAAAUGAUAGAUAUUGUGUAGGCAUGGUGCUUAUACCGUAUUUAUCUGCGAUUGUACCCAAUAUGCCAGAUCGUGGGGUGGUUCGUGAUAGUGACAGCUUCAUUGAUUCUUAUAUAGUCCCCCUCUCGUGUAUUGGGCUGGCAGAGCAACAUUAUUACAGGGGAGUGAUUGCUAUGUUUCUCAUAUUCCUUGCUAAUAUCACUAUGCAUGGGCGUAGUCUUGUCUCGCAAUGAUUGCUAAGUAUGCUUGCACUAACUAUGAUAUGCUAGACUAUAUAGUUGAGAAUAACUUAGGGAAUAUUCUUGUAGUUCGUUCUAAUACCAUGCUAAUGACUUUCUAGAGUAUCUAAUUGAGGUGCUUAUCAUAUUUAUUAUGUGGCUAGAUCAGAUUAGUUAUCCUUGUCACUAUUAUUAUUUCAUAUAUCUUUUAUGUGACACUUAUCCCUGUAUGAAGAGUUAGAUAUAAUGUUCUCAAUUAUACAUGCAAUGAUAGAUACUCAAUCUCAUAUUCUAUUCUAUAAUCAUUAGUGAUGAUUGCUAAUCCCUUCCCAGUGGUAAAAAUAUAAAUAACGAUACCUGAAAUACUUCCCGGUUAAAAUGCUGCAUCGGUAUUAAUCUGUGCGCUUGCAGAUCCCAUUCAUUAUUUAUUUAGAAGAGCAAUUGCAUAUUUCAAUACCGCGUCUCUCAUGUCAUGCUGGGGAUGACAACUUGGCUUAAGUGGUGUGAGGGAUAGGUUUGGCAUUUUUGGCACCGUUGCUAGAUUUAGAGAACUUAGUCUACUUUUGGUAAUGAUGUUAAGAAUACCCAACAAGCAUUUUUGGCGCCGUUGCCGGGGAAGGUUGAUUACUAAUCAGGAAUGGAAUAAAAGAUUUUGAGUUAUCAUUCGCAUCACUAAUAUGAUUGAGCUUAUCUAUUCUCUCAUACAGUUUUACCCCGAUAUUUUCCUAUUUCAUCUUAUGCAGGGGAAUGUAUGAAUAGAAGAUAUCUUCUAGGAAAUUUUGUUGACAAUCCUGAAGCAUUAUUCAAGAAGACGAGAGCCAAGCUAAAGAAAUCAUCAACACUUCACGAAUAAGCUUCAUCCAAUCCAGAAGAUCACCGGAACUUGUCUUCAGAGUUCGAAGCCAUGGCGAACAAAUCAAUCCGCGAGUUCUCAGCUCCCACUACGGACAACAUCCGCACUGGACCUGCUGCAGAGAUCGAUGGCAACUUUGAGCUCAAGCCUGGACUUAUCAAUAUGGUGCAAUCCAACCAGUUCUGUGGGAAGGCACACGAAGAUGCUAGUGCUCAUUUACAACACUUCCUAGAGAUUUGCAACACAUUCACCAUAGCAGGAGUUUCCAAAGACGCUAUACUACUUCGCCUCUUCCCAUUCUCACUAUUAGGAAGAGCGAAGCAGUGGUUCUACGCUACAAAGGAGAAGAAUACUACGUGGGCACUCUGCUCAACAAACUUCCUGGCUAAGUUCUUUCCCAUGGGCAAGACCAAUGCUCUCCGUGGGAAGAUUACGAGUUUUCAGCAACAAAAUGAUGAAUCUGUUCCAGAAGCAUGGGAGCGCUUUCAAGACUACAUCCUAGAAUGUCCCCAUCAUGGAAUGGAGAGUUGGCUAUUGAUGCAGACAUUCUAUCAUGGGCUCAGCAACAGUGCCCGAGAGACCAUGGAUGCUGCAGCUGGAGGAGCAUUCUUAUCACUUACUAUACCACAAGCCACAGCUCUUGUGGAGAAGAUGGAGUCCAACCAAAGCUGGAAUGAAGAGAGGACCCAGACACGCAAGAGAGGUGAAGGUAUACAUCAGCUGAAGGAGGUAGACAUGCUGCCUGCAAAGCUAGACCUGCUCAUGAAGAAGCUCGAUGAUAGAGCUGGAGACAAGAAAGAAGUUAUGCACAUCUACGACUCUCACAUGACUUGUGAGGAGUGUGGAGACACUGGACACUCAGGCAACCACUGCCCUGAGAUACUUGAGGAUGUGAACUACAUCAACAACAACAACAACUACUACUACAACCGUCCUCAACAAAAUCAAGGUUGGAAUCAACAGAGGCCUAACUACUCAGGUAAUUAUCGAGGUAACAAUUCUUACAACAACAAUAAUAAUCUUCCACCUUUGAGAGAGUUAGUGUCUAAUCAAGGAAAGUUAAUGGAUAAUCUAUCUAAGAAAUUGGCAUCUAAUGAUAAAAUGCUAGAAAAUAUAAAUAAUAGAAUGGAUAAUUUCUCUACUGCCAUCAAGAAUCAAAUUAGCUUUAAUAAAAUGAUUGAAUCUCAGUUAAAUCAAAUAGCUGCUGCUGUUCCUACUACUAACCCCGGUAUACCAUCACAACCGGAAGGAUUAGAAUCUGCAAAUCUUGUAGACAUGUUUGAUGCAGGUAAUUGGAGUAACCCCGUCACUGAAUUUUUUACUGACCGUCUGCCGGUCAAGAGAGGCGAUCCAGGACGCCCCGUCAUCCCGAUCUCCAUCGGCAUGGUGGACGUUCCAGAAGCACUCUGCGACUUUGGCUCUAGUGUCAACAUUAUACCUAGGGUACUCUAUGAAAAAUUAUUUACAUAUCCUUUAUUAGAAAUGAAAGGAUCUAAUUGGCCUAGAGGGGGGGUGAAUAGGCGUAUCUUAAAACCUGAAACUCAAAAACUCAAGUUGUGGAAGUCAAAUGCCUGUCGGUACUACCGACAGUUUGGGCCGGUACUACUGGUGUCACACAGCCAGUAGUACCGACGCAAACUGCUGGUGCUACCGACUUCCUAAGACAGCUACGAAAUCAGAGUGUAAAGGGCUUAGAUUUCAGAUCUGAGUUUUACCCCACUUUCCUAGGUGUAGAAGAAGAUGUUGUUGAAGUCUCCUUAGCUUAGUUCUUCUCCACACCGUAGAUCGACCCUUGUUUACCUGUGGAAAAGAGAAAAGAGAGAGGAACACCAAGAACACAAACAAGGGUAGUCGAAGCUACCUCCACAGCAGGACAAGGUAUUUUUCCCGAGGUUCGGCAAUCUCCACUAAGGAGUUCCUACGUCCCCGUUGUUGAGGUGACCACGAAGGUCUGACCACUUAGGUCUCCUCCUCAAGCAACCACAAAGGUUGGCCUGAUGUUUCCACUAAGAAUCAAGGGGUAAUACAAACACUUCGGGGUGCCCUCACAAAUGAAUCAACACGGGCAACCACGAAGAACGCCUAGCCGGCUAGGGUUCCAAGAACCCAAGAGUAACGAACACAAACCAAACCGGCAAGACGAGGAACGGAGUGCUCAAGUCACAGAUCGAUGCUCCCAACUCUCUAAUCUCACUUCUCUAGCUCGAAUCUCUCAAGAAAUGAAGUCUAGGAGCAAGAGGGAGAGAGAGUGGGUGAGCCAAAGCUUGGAGACUGUUUUCUCAGAUGUGGAGUAGCUAGAAUGAGCAAGCCAACGGUUAGAAAAGAGGAGAGAGCUAUUUAUACUAGAGUACAGAACACUGCCCGGUACUACUGGUGCAAACACCGGUACCACCGGCUCCCCAGAUCUAAACGUGAGAAAGCUGAGAAAGAUGCGAGAAAAAGGCCUACCGGUACUACCGGCCAGCGCCGGUACUACCGGUGGAAGGCCGGUACCACCGACAGUGCAAAAUCUCGCAAAACAUGAGUUCUGCGGGAUUUUUGCCUGCCGGUACUACCGGCGUUUCACCGGUACUACCGGUGGUAGCCGGUACCACCGGUCAAAGCCCGGUACUACCGGUAGUUCAUUUUCUCGCAAAACUCAGGAGUAGAGCUGGCACUGCCGGUACCACCGGCCCUGAGGGCCGGUACUACCGGCUCACCCUGGUAGAGAAGAAACUUUCCAGAAGUUCGUGUGUGCAAGUGUGUCUCUCAAAAGCAAGACCUAAGUUGACCUUAGCACCUUUAUCCUCAUCUUACCGACUCAAUUUGCAUCCCUCUUGAUAGUGCGGCGUUUCCUAUAACUCAAACAAGAAAAUAAAACUAGGUAGCUUUUUGAGUUGAAACGUCGCUUAUAUGAAGAAAUUUUGGGGGUGCUGUGAUUCACCAAAUGUGUUUGUUUGAUUCCAUCAAUGAACUAACACCUGUAGAUUACACUUGAUAGACAUGUUAGUUCCUAAUUUGAUUGUCAUUAAUUAUCAAAACCCACACAGGGGGCGAAUGCACUUACAAACUCCCCCUUUUUGGUAGUUGAUGACAACCAACUUAGGCUUAUAAAAGAUUGAAAGAAGUAGAGCUUUUUGAAUUCCAAAAAUUAGGUUGGGCUCCCCCUUAAUGUAUGCAUUGAGUUUGGAAUUUCAAAUCUUGAUUAAUAUCAAGAUGGCAUACAUUAAGAUCAAGCUCCCCCUAAAUUUUGCAAUCCGUGGGGUGCCUAGAAGAGUGUGUGUGUGACAAGAAAUAAACCGUGAUGCGUAUGACAGGAUAUAUCACAAAGAGUAAAAGAAGAAUUUGAAUGAUUGUGCAAGAACGAAGGAACUUACAAAAACCAUUCAAAAACAACAUUGCACCAACAAAAGUCUAAAGAGGCUAACACAAGCAGGAUAUAACGAGAAAUAAAAGUGUUUAGCUUACAAUCAUCCAUCACACAACUUAGUUCUUGUUCACCACACAUAGUUCAUCACUAAGAAAGUUUAAGAUGGGCACCAACUAACUUAUUACAGCAAAUAUAAGCCUAACACUCCCCCUUUGGCAGCAAGUGCCAAAAAGGGUAGGCUGCGAGGGAGAGCUAGAAAGACUACUCGUCGUCGUCGUCGUCGCUGCUGUAGUUGAUGAUGGUACGCAGCGGCCCCUUACCAUGAGGAUGAGCUGAGGUAGAUUGCUCGUGAGGUGGGGCAGCAGAGACAGAGGCUCUAGUAACAUCGUCCGCAGCUCCAAAGAGAUCCUGAUAAGCAAAGCCAGCCUCGGUGUCCUCCAUUGAGAAACCAGCAGGAAUCCCACCACCAUAGGAUGGAUCAAAAGCAGAGGGAGGAUCCUGCUUAUCCUCAUCGUCAUCAGGCGAAGUCCGGUGCAAGUUGUCAUAUUCAGCAUAGGGAUCCCGGAACUCACGAAGAGGAGAGGACGGAGGAAGAUCUGCCUUCUCCUCAAGACGACGGAGACGCUGAUCGGUCUUCUUUUGGCAAUAGCAAAAAUAGGAGAAGAACCGCUGCAAUGCAUGACGGGUAGGACUGCGGCGACCACGACCGCUUCCCUGAGGAGGAAUAUCUUCACCAUGAGCAUCAGCAGCACCAGCAGGAGUGGUAAAACCAGGGGUAGCAGCACCAGCAGGACUGAGAGGAGGAGCAUGAGGAGGACCCAAGUGCUUUGCACGGACCGGAGCAUGAAUGCAAGGGUGCGAGAACUGCAUGCCAGUCACUUGCUCAAUAAUAUGCAUUAGAUAUGGAGCAUAGGGCAGAUACUUGUUGGGAUCCACGGACGCAUGAGCAAUCUUGUUCCACAUGAAAUCCGAGACACCAAAGCGGCCACCGCUAGCACCAAAGCGAGCCAAAAUCUUAGGAGCAUCUUGACGAAGGUGAAUGGAAUCUCCAAACUUUGGGUCAAUGGUGUAGCGGAUCAGGUUGUUCAGCACAUAGAAGUAAGGCUUCAGGUGGGUGGUCUUGAGAUCCGGAUGAGCACCUAGCUUGUACAUUUCAGCAGCAUCAAUGUCCGCCUCAGAAAUCCCCUCAGCAAAAAUGGUGGACAGCCGGGGUGCAUCUCGAUCCAAGUGAUCAAAGCCAAGCAAGCGAGAGAAAGUGAUAAAAUCAAGGCGAUAGUGAACACCUUGAGUCAUCCAAUGUAGCACCCUAGAGGCUUGAUCGACCCACAAAGUUGCCCAAAACUGAAAGAGGAUCUCCUCAUUCCAAUUCUUCUCAAGGGUCAUAAGAGGAAGAAUACGCCAUUCUUCAAGCCUUUGAAUCAAAGCAGUGACCUCUGGAUGAUUGAAAUCUUGUAAGGACUUGAGGACCACAAACUUGUGCUGAAAAAGAGGUCCAUUUUUGGUGGCUUUGCUGCCCUUGUAGAGGACGGACUCAUAAAAGUCAUUGUGAAACUGAGACCAAAACCUCUCCUCAACUCCCUCAAACUUGAUGAACUUGUAUGGGUUCUCGCUGCGCUGAGUUCUUAAGUCCGUAAGACGCUUCUUGUAAUCAAUACCAAAACGGGGCAGCGUACCAGAGGGAAGAGCCGCCGCCGCCGUGAGAUGGAGAGAGAGAAAGGAGCGGGCGGGGAAGAGAUAAGGAAGAGAAUAACCGCGGGCGGCUUAUAUACCGCAGUAAAAAAGCACUGCCGGUACUACCGGCAACAGGGUCCGGUACCACCGGCGGGUCAGAGACCGCAAGAGGGAUUCUGCGAGAUUUUGGCCUACCGGUGCUACCGGGCUUUGGCCGGUACCACCGGCAGGAGCCGGUACUACCGGGGAUAGGCGCCGGUACCACCGGCAGGGCAGAGAACAGCGCUAAAAAGGUGAACUUAGUGUGGUAAACUAAAACAAAUCAGUCAUGGCCAGAUUUCAUCAAAUCAUUGCAAAACAAUGGCCAUGCUUGAGAUGUGAAAAAUAGAUUUUGAAAGACGCUAGAGUUUUCACAAAGAUUUGUCCUUUCUAAUCAAACAAGUAUGUGCAAGACAUCAACCCAUGUUACGAGAAUCAAUGAUAUUUAGUUCACGCCUCAAAGCACAAAAUCUUGACUCAUCUAGAGGUUUAGUGAAGAUAUCGGCUAACUGGUAUUCGGUUCUCACAUGUUGCACAGCGAUAUCUCCUUUGGAUUGGUGGUCUCUCAGGAAGUGAUGUCGAAUGUCUAUGUGCUUUGUUCUAGAGUGGUUCACAGGGUUGUCAGCUAGCUUGAUUGCCCCCUCAUUGUCACAUAAGAGGGGAAUCUUGCUUUGCUCACAACCAAAGUCUCUCAAGGUUUGCUUCAUCCAAAGUAGUUGGGCACAGCAAGCGCCGGCCGCCACAUACUCGGCUUCAGCGGUGGAAAGGGCAAUGGAGUUUUGUUUCUUAGAACUCCAGGACACCAAAGACCUACCAAGGAACUGGCAAGUCCCUGAUGUACUCUUUCGCUCUACCCUGCAACCGGCAUAAUCCGAGUCGGAGUAGCCAAGUAGAGUGAAAGUGGAGCCCUUUGGGUACCAUAAGCCAAGAUUAGGAGUGAACACAAGAUAUCGAAAGAUUCUCUUAACAGCCAUAAGAUGGCAUUCUUUUGGACUAGCUUGAAAUCUUGCACACAUGCACACACUAAGCAUAAUAUCAGGCCUAGAUGCACAAAGGUAAAGCAAAGAUCCAAUCAUGGAGCGAUAUACCUUUUGAUCAAUGGCCUUGCCGUCUCCAUCAAGGUCAAGAUGCCCGGUUGUUGGCAUUGGUGUCUUUAUGGGUUUGGCCUUGUCCAUGUCAAACUUCUUUAGCAUGUCAGUGGUGUACUUGGUUUGACUUAUGAAUGUGCCGUCCUUGAGUUGCUUGAUUUGAAAUCCAAGGAAGUACGUCAACUCUCCCAUCAUGGACAUCUCGAACCUCUUGGUCAUAAUCCUACUAAAUUCCUCACUGAAGUCCGCAUUAGUACUACCAAAUAUAAUGUCAUCGACAUAUAUUUGGCAUAUAAAAAUAUCAUUAUUGACUUUGCGAGUAAAUAAAGUGGGAUCGGCUUUCCCAAUCUCAAACCCUUGUUUGAGUAGGAAAUCCUUGAGACAAUCAUACCAAGCUCUAGGGGCUUGCUUUAGCCCAUAGAGUGCUUUGUCCAGCUUGUAGACAUGAUCGAGAUGAUGUGGAUCUUCAAAACCCGGUGGUUGCUCCACGUACACGGUUUCGGAGAGGGGGCCAUUGAGGAAUGCACUUUUCACGUCCAUUUGAAACAACUUGAAAUCAUGGUGAGCAGCAAAGGCAAGUAAUAUACGAAUAGAUUCAAGCCUAGCUACAGGUGCAUAAGUCUCCCCAAAAUCCAAACCUUCGAUUUGAGUGAAACCUUUGGCUACCAACCGAGCCUUGUUUCUGGUGACCACGCCAUACUCAUCUUCUUUGUUGCGGAAAACCCAUUUGGUACCUAUCACGUUUUGCUUGGGUCUUUCCACCAAGGACCAGACUUCAUUCCUAGUGAAGUUGUUCAACUCUUCUUGCAUAGCCAUCACCCAAUCUGGAUCCGCCAAGGCAUCUUCCACCCUAUUUGGCAACAUAGAGGAGACAAAAGAGUAAUGUUCACAAAAACCGACUAAACGAGAGCGUGUUGUUACCCCUCGUUGUAUGUCUCCCAAAAUGUUAUCAACGGGAUGAUCCCGUUGAAUAGAGUGAUGAACUCUUGGGUGUGGCACUGCUGUUCUUGUUUGAAUGGGACCAUCAUCUUCAUCUUCAUGGUCUUGGUUGAUUGGAGAGUCUAGAUUUUGAGCGUUUUGAUCUCCAUCUUGGUUUGGUUCUUGUGCUUGAGGUGGAUCUUGUUUAACUUGUUCUCUUGAGUCAUGACCUCUUCUUGAUGUGGAAGCAUCAUCAUGGGUAUUGGUUGACCCAUGAUGCAGGUUUGGGUCACGAGAAAUUUGCAUGUGUGCAUCAUCUUCUUCUUCUUCAACGGGUUUCACUUCACUGGUGGCAAGCUUUUUGAUUACUUGGUGUGAUGGCUCUUCUUUACCUAAAAUUUCAGUAUUGACUUGCUCUUUUUGAGAGUCGUCGCUUUCAUCAAAAGUCACGUCUACCGCUAUUUCAAUUUGACCGGUGGUCUCAUUGAAAACACGAUAGCCAUGUUGAUUAGUAGCAUAACCAAGUAAGAAUCCUUCAUCAACCUUUGGUGCAAACUUAGAGCUUUUGGAUCUUUUAUUAAGUAUGAAACACUUGCAUCCAAAAACUCUGAAGUAAUCCACCUUAGGCUUUUUACCGGUUAGGAGCUCGUAGGCAGUUUUCUUCCUCAGCUUGUGAAGAUAUAGGCGGUUGAUUGCAUGACAUGCCGUGUUAACGGCUUCUGCCCAAUAAUCCUUUUCAGAGAUCUUGUAUUCAUCCAACAUUGCUCUUGCGGCUUCAAUGAGUGUUCGGUUCUUUCUUUCCACCACACCGUUUUGUUGAGGAGUAUAUGCAACCGAGAACUCAUGCUUGAUGCCUUCUUCAUCAAGGUAUGCUUCAAUGUUGGUGUUUCUAAAUUCAGUCCCGUUGUCGCUUCUCACUCUCUUGAUCUUCACUUCAAACUCAUUUUGAGCCCUUCUUGCAAACUUCUUGAAGAUCCCUUGAGUCUCACUCUUGUCCUUCAAAAAGAAUACCCACGUGAAGCGAGAAAAGUCAUCGACAAUUACAAAACCAUAUUUGUUACCUCCAAUGCUUAUGUAAGCAUUGGGUCCGAAUAAAUCCAUGUGAAGAAGCUCAAGUGGUCUUGAUGUAGUCACGAUGUUCUUUGCGGGAUGCUUGGCUCCAACUUGUUUUACCGCUUGACAUGCACUGCAAAUUCUAUCUUUCUCAAAAGAAACAUUCGUUAGUCCUAGGAUGUGUUCACCUCUUUGAAGAUCGGCCAAGUUCCUCAUCCCAACAUGGGCUAGACGGCGAUGCCACAGCCAGCCCAUGCUAGAUUUUGUCACUAAACAAGUCUCGGACCCCACUCUACUAGCUAAAAAAUCAACUAGAUAGAGCUUGCCCUUUAGUUGACCCGUAAAAGCAAUAGAAGAAUCCGACCUUCUAGAGACUUCCACACCCUUAUCCGUAAAGAGACAAUUGUAACCCUUCUCACAAAGUUGUGAGACGGACAACAAAUUGUAUCCCAACGAAUCCACAAGCAAAACAUUUGAAAUGGAAUUAUCAUUUGAAAUUGCAAUUUUACCUAAACCAAGGAUAUCUCCUUUACUAUUGUCACCAAACACAAUCCUUUCACUUGUGGUUUGAUUUGGUUGAAAGGAGGUGAACAUGCUUUUCUCUCCGGUCAUGUGAUUGGUGCAUCCACUAUCGAGCACCCAACUUGGCCCACCGGAGGAAUAAACCUACAAGAUAAGAUUAAGCCUUUGUUUUAGGUCCCGAGUUGGAACCUAUGGGGUUAGACACAUAAGAUUUGGGCACCCAAACACUCCUCAAGAUUUGUCUCUUCUUGAGGGCGCCCACAUACUUCACAACAAUCUUGCCAUCCUUAUCCCAACAACACAUGUAAUCACAAAUAUGAUUGCGUGAGAUAGGCGCUUGUUGCUUGGGCAUCUCCACUUGCUUCUUCUUGACGUUCUUGCUGCUUGCAAGUGUGAUUGUAGGAGUGACAACAUUGUUCACUUUGUCAAUAAGGUCAACAAGAGGCACACUCUUGUUGAACUUUACACAAGGCACCCCAUUUAUCAUGUUUCUUCCAUUGGCUCUACCAUUAUACCUGUUGUAUCCGAGGCCAUCCUUGAUUAUGGGGUGCCUUGAUGCCUUGAACACAUUUGUCGGUUGCUUGUCCUUGCACUUGCAACCAAUCUUGACAAUUGUGUUUAAUCUUUGGAUCUCCUUGUCCUUCUUUGCUAACUCAUCAAGGUUAGUGAGACAAGCAUUUAUGUCAACAUUUAUGCAUCUUUCACAGUUUUUAUUUGUAGAAGCCUCUGAAUCCUUGGAAGCGUUAGAGGUGCUAGACCAAAGCUUUUCAUAGUUUAGUUCAAGCUCAUGAUAUUUUGUUGUCAAGCUUGUGAGGCUUUCUUGAGCCAAACUAUGAUCAUUCUUUAGGCUAGCCAAAGAUCCAUUGAGUGAGGAAUGUUCCUUAGUCAAUCGCUCACUGGAGUUUUUGACUAGAGACAAUUCUACACUCAAUUUCUCAACCCUCUCCUUUUCCUUGGAGAGACAUACUUCGAGCCCUUGGUUCUUCUCCCUUUCCUCUAGGAGCAGUUCGCCUUGUGACUCGAUGCAUGACUCAAGCUUGUCAUUAGCGUAUAUUAGCUUUAGAAUUUUAGUUGCAGCAGCUUUACCAUAUUUCUUAAUGAGAUUGUUGGCAUAGUUUUCAUCAUCUUCAUUAUCACUAUCAUAGUCACUAGUGGUUUGAGGAGAGGAGUCAGUUUGUACCUUGUCUCCUUUUGCCAUAAGGCAUGUAGGAGUGUCAUCAUCGUCAUCGGAGAGAUUAGCGAAGAGCCUAGGCGAUGAAUGGGUGUCGGAGAUAAGUGCUGUUGAUGAGGCAACGUUGGUGAGGAUCUUGUUUGGGGAGGAUCCUUCUUGUACUGCGAUGGCAGCUACACUCUUCUUCUCAUUGUCAUCAUCAUCACUGUCACUGUCCGAUUGCCAUUCUUGCCCGAGGUGAGCUUCUCCUUUCUUCUUGUCUUUGUACUUCUUGUCAUUUUGUUUGGUGUACCUUGACUUCUUUCCUUUAUUGGGACAAUCUGCUGCAAGAUGGCCGGUGUCACCACACUCAUAGCAAAACCUCUUCCUAUAUGGCUUGCUUCCUCCAUAUCUUCUCAUCUUAUCUUUCUUCAUUCUCAGAUAGUUCUUAUAGUUUCCCACUAGCAUAGCUUGUUCUUCAUCAAGAUCAUCAUCAUCUUUGUGCUUAUGCUCACAACAUCCUUUGUUGCAAUGGCUUGACUCACUUGCAUGUGAAGCUGUGAGUGCUAUGUUCUUCCUUUGAUUUAAGGCUUCUUUUGCUUCAUCAUCCAAGACUUCAUGAUGCAUCAACUUUGCAAGCAUUUCUUGAGGUGUCAUAGUGUGAUAGUUGUCUUUCUCCAUGAUGACGGAUGCAAGCAUGUUGUUUCUUUGUCUAUACACUCUACAAAUCUUUCUUGCUGCAGAGUUGUCAUCCCAUGUUGUUGCUCCAAGUGCUCUAAUUUGAUUGAUCAAUGACAUAAACCUAUCAAACAUGGCUUUUGUUGUUUCUCCCUCAAGUAUACAAAAGUUCUCAAUCUUACUUUGCAGGAGCUCAAUGUUCCCUACUCUUACACUCUUGUCUCCUUCAAAUGACACUUUCAAGGUAUCCCAAAUCUGCUUAGCAUUUGUGGGGGUAUAAACCCCUAUACCCUUACGGCUAGACUUGGGCCAGGAGACUUGGCCCAUUACGAGACAAGCUCAAAGCUUGAUCUGACAGCUUGGAGUUUAGUGCAAGGGAACAAGCCGUGAAGAUCAAGCAGGAUUCUAGUCGGUUAGAAUAGGAAUUGAUAUCGAACUAUCUAUGGCAAUUGUAACCGACUAGGAUUAGUUUCCAGAUCUGUAACCUUGCCCUCCGGACUAUAUAAGGAGGGGCAAGGGACCCCUCUAGGACAGAUUUAUUCUCUCAACACAAUCCAAUACAACCAGACGCAGGACGUAGGUAUUACGCCAACUCGGCGGCCGAACCUGGAUAAAAAGCUUGUCCGUGUCUUGCGUCACCAUCGAGUUCGUAGUUUGCGCACCGUCUACCGAUAAACUACUACCGUGGGUAUACCCCAAGGUAGACUGCCGACUAGCUUUCGUCGACAGUGGCGCGCCAGGUAGGGGGUGUGCGUGCAACUUCUUCGGCGAACAAGAUGGUCACGAUCCCAGCUUCCGCGGCCGUGCCUGAAGGCCUCACGUUCACCGUCGGCCAGAUCACGUGGACGACGCGCAGCGGCGGCCUCACAACCACGGCUCCGAAAGAAACUCAGAUCCAAUCUGAGAACACGUCGUCUCCGACCACUCGCGUGGCGGAACCGAGCGCCCGACCACCGCUCCCGCUCUACAAGGGAAAGAAGAUCGACUGCUCGGACCUUCUCCAAGCGCUCGAUCGCGCUGAUUCCAAGCUACUCGAAGCUUCCCAACUAGUGGACGGAAUCCUGCGUCAGCUUGAUCAAGCUGCUCCAACGGGUUUUUUCAAAUCCCGUCGGCCAACUCGUGUCGUUACACACGAACGGCUGGGCACGUCUCUGACGAUAACCUCAACUCCCUCGGGACGAUCUGUCAAGCUCAAGAAGGGAGACUAUCCUUGCGGCCUGAACAACUCGGCCUCUCUCUACUCGCGGCACAUCCAAUCCGUUUUCAGCAAAGCGGGUUGGCCGCCAAAAAGGAACGGUCGUCACUACGUCAACAUGGUGACAGUCCAAGAACUACGGGACGGCCAGGCUUCCAGCACCAACUCUAGCAUCGGUUCCGUCCCCACCGAAGUUAUAAACACCGAAGACGAGGACUACGACCUGGAUUUGUCUUCACACCCUCCGGGUUUCCCUCGUUUUCCGGUAUUCCCCCCCCCCCCGGCGAGGAGAUAUUGUUUUCAACGUCAGCGCCGACGAGUCGGUCGUAGAUGGAGAAACAGAUGAGCAGAGGCAACUCCGCGAGCAGCGCAACGCCGAUCGCGCCCGUCGACGUGCAGACGAGCAACAGCAAAUUCCACCGCACAAUCUUAACGACGCUUUUGACAUGGUCGGGGAUCAGCCAGUCUACAAGACGCCAAGUGCUAACGUGGCUGUCGCCAUGGCUAACCUAGACCGGCUCCCUGAUACCCCUGAGUGCCAGGGAGUCCGGACCAGCAUCCGAGCACACCUGAUCGCCGCAAUGGGACAGACAGCCACUCUGCUCAAGAGAGUCCAGGACGUCUCUUACACGGAAGCCACCUCCGACCAGACUAAUCGUAGCCGGACUUCACCGCCUCCCAGCAGGUGUCACCGCAGCCGCUCUCCCGACAACCGUCGAAAAGAUUCACGGCGUGACGAUGGUGAUCGGGACACUGACGGUCACCGCGAGCAGAACCGCAGACGCGGUCAAGAAGUAAACCAGCACAGGGAUCUCCGGCACAACAUCCCUCCCAAAGAUGCCCGGGACCGCAUCAACAGGCGCGCCACAGAGAGAGCAGUCCACGAAAACCUGCGCCGUAUCAAGUACGAUGCAAUGCACGGCCCUCCGGGCCUAAGACAGUUCUCCUCACACCUCCGCCAGGUCGUAUGGCCCCGCAAUUUCAAGCUCGAAAAACUUAAAAAAUACGAUGGCAAGGAAAAUCCAGCGAACUGGAUCACUCUCUAUGAAAUCGCCGUCCGAUCAGCAGCGGGAGAUGAGCACGUCAUGGCCAACUACUUCCCCGUAGUACUCGACCAGGCUGGUCAUCAGUGGCUUCUUGGCUUGCCCGAGGACUCCUUCGACUCUUGGGGAGAGCUACGCCAGGCUUUCAUCGACAACUUCAUCGCCACAUACGAGCAGCCUGGAAACAAGUAUGACCUCGAAAGGAUAAGGGACAGGAAGAACGAACCUCUUCGCGAUUACAUCCGACGAUUCUCGGAUAUGCGCCUUAAGAUCCCGAAGAUUUCCCACGACGAGGCCAUCUCUGCCUUUAUCAAGGGCCUGCAUUUCCAUGAGGUGCUAAGGAACAAGUUGUUGCGUAAACGGCCAACAACGGUGGCAGAGCUCCUCGCCACAGCCAAAAAUUACGCCGACGCCGACGACGCAGAAAAACUAAUCCGAGACGAUGCGAGAGGUCCCGACCAGCCUCCCCGGCGAGAUGACGGUCGCGGUCGCUUCGACAACAGGAACCACCGCCGCCCCGACAACCGCGAUCACAGAGAAGGUUGGGAUCGGCGACGCGACAACCGCGACGAUUUCAGAGGAAAGCGCCCCCGCGACUACGAUCACGAAGUAAAUACGGUAAAGCGUCCCAACGGGCGGCGGGACUACCAAGAAGACUACAACAAAACGUUGAAGGGACCGUGCCAACUACAUCCAAAGUCUAAUCAUACCAUGGAAGAGUGUCGCGUCCUCAAAAGCAUCUAUACACGGCAGGCCGCCCAAGACAACUCCGCUAAGAAAAAUGGCAAGCGAGACGAGCACCACCACGAAGACGAGGAUGAAGACCAAGAUAGGGACCCCCGACACCAAUACGUCAGCCCCACUGACGUGGUCCACUCCAUCUUUGGGGGCAAGGUCUCCAUCGAAUCUAAGCGAGAAAGAAAGCUUUUAGAGAGAGCCUGCCUUAACAUAGACAGCACGGACGGGCUGAUCGCAGACCCAAAAUUCCCCUCGUGGUCGCACAGGGAGAUCUCAUUCAGCAGGAAGGACCAGUGGGCCGCUAUCCCAGAGCCAGGUCGUUUCCCUCUGAUCCUGGACCCUUGCAUCAACAGGAUCAGAUUCGAGCGCGUGCUCGUGGACGGGGGAAGCUCCAUCGACAUCCUCUUCCGCAACAGCCUGCCCGCUCUCAAGAUAUCUCCUGCACAGCUAAAACCCUACGAUGCCCAAUUCUGGGGGGUUUUGCCAGGACAGAGUUCAGUGCCCCUCGGACAGAUAACAUUGCCUGUCCAAUUCGGCACACCCGACCACUUUCGGACAGAAUUCAUCAACUUCGUGGUCGCGGACUUCGACGGGACCUACCACGCUAUACUGGGCCGACCAUCGCUGACAAGGUUCAUGGCAGUCCCGCACUACUCUUACCUGGUCCUUAAGAUGCCUACGGAGAAGGGCGUCCUAACCGUCAGAGGCAAUGUCUACACCGCGUAUACCUGCAAAGAAGAGAGCUUCAAGAUCACUGAAGCAAUAGACCUCUCAAUCCGCAUGGCAGAAACAGCGACCCAAGCCGCGCAGCUACCCCCCACCAGCUCCAAUUACCCGAGCAGGAGACAGCCAGGAAGAAUUCAAAAUCCAAGGAGCACAAAGAAGUACAGCUGGUCGACGGCAGCCCUGAGAAGACGGCCCUCAUCGGGGCCAAUCUGGAUCCAAAAUAGGAAGACGCGCUCGUCAGGUUUCUAAGGGACAACAUGAGCAUUUUCGCAUGGAAACCCGCAGACAUGCCCGGCGUCCCACGAAACCUGAUCGAGCACUCCUUAAAUGUCUCGAAGACCGCAAGACCAAUUAAGCAAAAGCUGCGACGGUUCGCUCGUGACAAAAAGGAGGCUAUCAGGACAGAAAUAACACGGCUUCUAGCAGCCGGAUUCAUAAAAGAAGUGUAUCAUCCCCAUUGGCUCGCCAAUCCGGUUCUUGUACGCAAAAAGAAUAAUGAAUGGAGAAUGUGCGUUGAUUACACUGAUCUCAAUAAACACUGCCCUAAAGAUCCUUUUGGUCUCCCUCGCAUUGACGAGGUGGUCGACUCAACGGCCGGAUGCGAACUCCUCUCUUUUCUGGAUUGCUACUCUGGUUAUCACCAGAUCUCGCUAAAGGAAGACGAUCAGAUAAAAACAUCCUUCAUUACUCCCUUUGGCGCAUACUGUUACACGACCAUGUCCUUCGGACUCAAAAACGCCGGAGCCACUUAUCAACGGGCUAUCCAGAAGUGCCUCCACGAUGAGAUUCGUGAUGACCUCGUCGAGGCCUAUGUCGACGACGUGGUCGUAAAAACAAGGGACGCGAGCACCCUAAUCAACAACUUAGACCGAACCUUCAAAGCGCUUAAUAGGUUCAAGUGGAAGCUUAACCCCAAAAAGUGCAUCUUUGGUGUUCCUUCUGGUCUACUGCUCGGCAACGUUGUCAGUCGUGACGGCAUACGACCAAACCCUUCAAAACUAAAAGCAGUACUCGACAUGCGGCCACCCAAGAAUGACAAGGAUAUUCAGAAGCUCACCGGAUGUAUGGCCGCCCUCAGUCGCUUCAUCUCAAGACUAGGGGAAAAAGGCCUCCCCUUCUUCAAACUCUUGAAAGCGUCGGAAAAAUUUUCUUGGACAGAGGAAGCCGACGCCGCAUUCACUCAGCUCAAGACUUUUCUCACUUCGCCACCUGUCCUUACAGCGCCUCAGCCCGAUGAAGACCUACUCCUUUACAUUGCUGCAACCGACAGGGUUGUUUCCACAGCAAUAGUGGUCGAGCGAGAUGAACCAGGUCAUGCCUAUAAGGUCCAGAGACCCGUUUACUUCAUAAGUGAGGUCUUAAACGAGUCCAAGGCCAGGUACCCACAAAUACAGAAGCUCAUAUACGCCAUCCUAAUAACGUCAAGAAAGCUGAAACACUACUUCGACGGCCAUCGAGUCUUGGUGACCACCAGUUUCCCUCUCGGGGACAUUCUGCGCAAUAAAGAUGCCAACGGCAGAAUCGUAAAAUGGGCGAUGGAGUUAUGCCCAUUUUCCCUGGAGUUCCAGAGCCGCACCACAGUUAAGUCUCAGGCCUUGGUCGAUUUCAUUGCUGAGUGGACGGAUCUUAACGAACCUCCCGUUCCCGAUGUCUCCGACCACUGGUCAAUGUUCUUUGACGGAUCCUUGAACAUCAACGGUGCCGGCGCUGGGAUACUGUUCGUGUCGCCUAACAAGGACAAACUACGUUACGUCCUUAGGAUCCUCUUUCCGGCGUCAAACAACGUCGCCGAAUAUGAAGCAUGCCUGCACGGCAUAAGGCUAGCCGUCGAGCUGGGAGUCAAGCGCCUCUACGUCCAUGGCGACUCUGCUUUGGUUAUCAACCAGCUCAACAAGGAGUGGGAUGCAACCCACGAGAAGAUGGAUCUCUACUGCAAAGAAAUUCGCAAAUGGGAAACCAACUUCUACGGCAUAGAGUACAUCCACGUGGUCCGGGAUAAGAACCAGGCAGCAGAUGCGUUGUCAAAGUUAGGGUCAUCUCGGGCCCAGAUACCGCGGGGUAUUUUCGUCCAGGACAUCCACGAGCCAAGCGUAGGUUCCGGCCCAGUCGAAAAGCAACUCGCUGAGGCAAUGCUCAUAGACGAUGUCGAUCCGACAACCAGUGGUCGUGAUUGGCGUACCCCGUUCAUCAAGUAUAUAUUGGACGGGUCAGGCUUUCAGGACAAAACAGAGAACGAGCGCCUCAUUCGACGGUCAAAAAACUACAUCCUGGUCGACGGCAAACUCAUGCGAAAAAACGCAAGUUCCGAAGUACUGCUCAAAUGCAUAUCCCAAGAUGAUGGUAUCAAGCUCCUAGAAGACAUACAUGCCGGAUCUUGCGGCAAUCACGCCGCAUCCAGAACGCUGGUCGGGAAAGCCUUCCGAGCAGGUUUUUAUUGGCCAACCGCGGUAUGUGACGCAGAAAAACUGGUCCGACACUGCGAGGGAUGUCAGUUCUUCGCUAAAAGGACACACGUACCUGCUCAUGAAAUUCAAACCAUUCCGUCAUCCUGGCCCUUUGCCUGCUGGGGGCUUGACAUGAUUGGGCCUUUUAAACCAGCUCCCGGCAACUUCAAGUUUGUUUUCGUGUUAAUCGACAAGUUCUCCAAGUGGAUCGAAUACAUGCCUCUGGUCAAAGCAACCUCCGAGAAGGCUGUGGAGUUUCUCAGUCAAAUCAUACAUAGAUUCGGCAUCCCGAACAGCAUAAUCACCGACCUGGGUACUCAGUUCACUGGCACCACUUUUUGGGACUUCUGCGAUGACAGGGGCAUAGUCAUAAAAUAUGUGUCAGUAGCUCACCCACGGGCAAAUGGUCAAGUUGAGCGCGCAAACGGAAUGAUCAUUGACGCCCUAAAGAAACGGCUGUAUGCCGAGAACGACAGAGCACCCGGUCGAUGGAUGAAAGAGUUACCGGCUGUGGUCUGGGGCCUCCGAACUCAGACCAGUCGGAACACAGGGGUGUCCCCCUACUUCAUGGUUUACGGCACUGAGGCAGUCCUGCCGUCUGACAUAACCUUCGGUUCUCCUAGGAUCGAAAACUUCAACCAGUUAACAGCCGACAGCGCCAGAGAGCUCGAAAUCAACUGCAUGGAGGAAAAGCGUUUGAAUUCUUGUCUCCGAACAGCAAAGUAUCUCGCGGCCGUCAGGCGAUACCACAACAGGAACGUCAAGGACCGUUCCUUCAUGGUCGGCGAUCUGGUACUUAGGUGGAAAACAAACCAAGAAGGAAUGCACAAGCUAUCCACUCCCUGGGAAGGACCCUUUAUGGUCGCCGAAGUCACACGACCUACAUCCUACAGAUUGGCGCAUCCAGACGGAACACGCGUGCCUAACUCCUGGCAUAUAGACAAACUGCGCCGAUUUUAUCCAUAAAUUCCAGUAACUUUUGCUUGUAAGUCUCUUAUAGUUGGCAGUAAUAAAAGUUUUUUCUUUUUUGGCUAUACUUUGUUUACACGCAGAGUUUUCGACGAAGAACAACAAUAUCCUCUGCGACGGAAAAUCUUAACGACCAUGAAACAAGCACAGUGACACGUCACUCCGACAACUUCACAGCGCUCAAAAUAGUAGUCAUGACAAAUUCAAAACUUUAUUACAAACUUUACAUACAAAGUUUACAAUAAACACCCUGACGGGCGGACACUAGUCUACUCCUACAGACUAUCCUACUGGCCUACUGCUCGGGCUGAUCACCCGCCUGGCCUUGCUGCCCGGACGAAGGGGUCGGGGCCACCGGCGCCUGGCUGGUCGAGACCGCAGGCGUCGACCGCCCAUCUCCCGCAAUAGACGCGCCCGAUAGCUCCCUGGCCGACCUGUCUGAACCUGGCUGGUCGGGGGGAGUGGCCGUUCCGCACAGGUUGAUGUCGCCGAUCACCGUCGACGACAAGCCCAGCAGACCACCCCGAAGCUCGUCCGCCUCCUGCGGGCCGACCUCCUUGGGGUACCCCUUCUCCAGCCUGGUCAAAUCGACCAGGGGGUAGUGGGCGCGCACCAUGCUAAGGAUGUGCGCACCAGCAAACUCCCCAGCGUCCUUCACGAACUGUUGAAGCCAGUCCCACGCCCGUUGCGCCUUUUCAACUGGCGUCAAUUUCGGCACGCGGGGCUGGCUCUCCGGGAGCUCGGGGCUGAUCAAGUCCAGGACCGGGGACACUCCUUUCCAGAUCUUACAACAGUUGACCUUCCAGGAGUCCCGAUCCCUGACCAGCUCGUUUAGGUGCUUCUUGGCGUUCACCUUGAGCACUGCAAGACAAGCAAGAUGUUAGAUUCAGUGUGUCAAAAAUAAAAAAAAUGAUAAACGACGACUAACGGAGGCGGUGCGUAUUACCAGACAACUCCUGGUCCUUUCGGCUCAGCUCCUCCCCUGCUCGGCGUCCGGCCUCCAGCGCCCCGGCAAGCUCUUGGCUGAGCUGCUCUUUCUCCUGCCGAAGACGCGCGACCUCCUCCUCCAUGUCUGCACGAAUAAUUCCCAGAUUAGCAAAUUCAAAUAACGCGGUCGCACACAGCCGCCCAAAUGUUCGAGACUAACCUUCUCGCAGCCGAUACUGGUCGGCUAAGCGUCGGGUAAGCUCGAGACAGCGCUCUUCUCGGCUACCUUCUCCCCAACCUCCGACUGCAGCCGGUCUACCUCCGCGGACAAGGCCUUAUUCUCGGCCACGAUCCCUUCGAUCUGGUCAAAGCACCGUUUCCGGUACUUCGCCGUUUUCAUUGCGCCCUGCAAAACAAAGAAGAACACAUGUCGAAUAUGGGAACACUGCACAAAGAUUAUCCAAGCAACACACAGGAUUACCUACCUUAACCUCGUCCACGAGGCGCUUAGCCGCGCGCUCUACCCUCGCGGCCUCCUCCGUCUCCGCGAGCUCCUCGUGACCAAUAAAGUGGUCCCCGCGCUGGCGCCACACAUAGAUGUGCUGACGACCAUCACGGGGACGACCCUGUACCUCCUCCACGUCGUCAUCGGAGGCCUCCUGGGGCUCCUCGUUCGCCGCACUGCCUCAGGCUGCGGUCGAGGGCAUCACUGGUCCCUGGUAUGGGCCAGGGGAGCCCACGGGUGAAGAAGCCCCUGCUCGGUGCGGUGUCGGCAUCCCCCCUUCUUCGGCCGGAGGAGUCGGGACUCUGCUCCCCUCCUCCGCAAUAGUACUCGGGGGAGGGGUCCUUCCUGCCUCCCCAUCCCUCGGCGGAAUGCUCGCCGCGGCACUCGCCGGAGCAGACUCUCCCUCGAUGCCUGUAGCAGCAGCUGCCGCCGCAGGCUGAUCCGUUGUCUGCGGCGCCGCGUCUCCAGCAGCAUAAGCAGGCUCGGCCGCCUUUUGUCCGGCGGCGUGGUCGGGGUUGACAUCCGACGCCGCGCUAAAAAUCAAAGCAGCAUUUUCAGCAAAAAAAACGCCAAAAUACGUAAGUCGAACACUUACAGAUCCGAUCGACGGUGGGUCGUGGUGAACCUCCUCCGAGCCCGGGCGGUUGGUGCUUGGGUUCCCGUCUCUGUAACGCGCGGCGAAGGAGGAUCGCUGGCCACCCGACCAGUGGUGGUCGGCGCACUGUCUAGACGGCUACGAGGCCGUCGGACUAGCGACGGUGCGGCUUCCUCCUCUUCGUCGUCGUCGUCGGUAAUCCGGACGAGCCGAUGGCGCUUCGGUGCUUGGCUGCUCUCCGCUGGCAGCGUCGUCGCAGGCGAAGGAUCUAUCGCCAUUGGCCUUUUCCCCGCCACCCUCUCCUCGGUGGUCGGGAUGGGACGGGCCUGGUCCUCUUCACUGCUGGUGUACCGAUCACACCGUGCAGCGUCCUCUAUCGGCGGAUCCUCCCUUGCGGGAUCCUCCAUCCCAGGCGCCAGUGAUACAUACACUGCGUACCUGUCUACAUCUCCGAUCUACAAAGAGAAAUACGGACAAGUCAGCAUCCGAUGAUAUAACUAAUGCUAAGGAGUCACAGUCAAGUAAAGGACAUCACCUUAGGGGCCGGUCGUCCCAGCUUGAAAGCUUGCACCCGAUCACUACCACGGAUGAAGCCCCCGUCAGCAAAGUUGAACAAUUCGUUCAACAACUGCUGCACCUCUUCCUUCUCCAGGACCUCAGGCCUCAUCCUAGUCGGGUCCUGGCUUCCGGCGUACUCGUACGCCGAGUGCACCCUCUUCUGGCAGGGCAUCACCCGGCGGCAAACAAAGUUGCCGACCACCCCUAGCCCGUCCAAGCGCGACCAGUCGAUCAGCUUCAUCAAGCUUGCUACUUGUCCGUCGAAUUCUGGGCGGUCGGUCCAACUGAUCCUCUUCUCGGGGAUGUACCCUACGUCACAGAACGUGGAGCUGCCCGGCUCUUCCCUAAUGUAGAACCAUUUCUUAUACCACUCGGUAAGAGAGGUAUUCCAUGGGCAGCUCAGGUACCGGUUCUUCAUCCCGUCCCGAAGAUUGAGGUAUACUCCACCUGCAAUCUUGGAGCCUCCAACUGCUCCCUUCUUCCUUAAGCAGAAAAGAUAACGAAAGAGAUCGAAGUGCGGCUCUAUGCCAACAUAGGCCUCGCACAGAUGGAUAAAAGUGGAGAUGAGGAGAAUUGAGUUCGGGUGCAGAUUGCAAAUCCCGAUCUCAUAAUACAAAAGGAGACCUUGAAGAAAAGGAUGAACAGGAACCCCAAAGCCCCUUUUAAUGAAAUCUUCGAACACGACGAUCUCACCGGCACGGGGGUCGGGGAAGCUUUCUCCUUCCGGCGCUCUCCAGCCGCCGAGUUCCGAGCUGUGCAGGAGCCUCAUGUCGACGAGGUCACCGAGGGACUUGGCGGUGCUGCGGGAUUUCUUCCAUUCCUUGGCCAUCAGUUCGGCCCUCUUCUUGGAAUCGCUCUUCGCCAUUGGAGGUGAGGAAGUGGGCUUGAGUUAUGAAGAUAUGGGUGAUUGAAGGAGGCAAAGGUGGAAGGCUUGAAGGCAAUGGCAGGGUAAGUAGUACAGGCGGAUCUGUCGAGCCCUUAUAACCCGCAACUCCACCUCCCCCACUUCCCGUAUUCUCGGGAAGUGGGCGGGCCAUGCGGUGGAUGCGGCGUUUCGGUUUUCAAUGAUUAUAAACAGUUAAUACGGCGGAGUUUUCGUACCAAUUGAUGGUUCCCUUUCUCAAACCAUGCAAAGGGUGGCCGCACAGUUGCCAGGCACAACUUUUCAUGCAUCCAUCUGACACCCCGUCAGGAGGCCUCGUCACGUCAACUUUAACUGGAAAGAUCUUUUCAAAAAUAAGAAGACAAAUGUGGCAGAGAGUCAACAAUCUGGGGACUGCAUCGACCACCGAGCACUUGAUGCUCGGGAACUGGUCGCCCAGUCUAUUAACUCGGAUCUGAAGGACUGCACCGACUACCGAGCACUUGACGCUCGGGGACUGGUCGACCAGCUCACCAAAUUAAGAGCUUGGGGACUGCACCGACCACCGACCACUAUACGCUCGGGGACUGGUCGACCAGCCCACCAAUUUGAGAACUCGGGGACUGUACCGACCAUCGAGCGUUAUAUGCUCGGGGACUGGUCGAUUAGUCUAUUCAAUUGCAUACGAGCAUGAUAUGCUCGGGGACUGGUAAAUUCAAUUUUUUAGAUCUUGCUACAAGGCUCAUACUUCGCCUUCCAGCAAGCUCGGGGACUACAUCGGUACGAUGCAUCUGGCGAUGCAUCUCAGUUUCAGAAUUUCUUUGAUGACUUUUCUUUUUAGACCCUGGCACCACGUGCCUACGUCACCUACUACCAGGCUCGGGGACUAAGUGGGCACACUUCACCUUGCGGUGAAUAUGUUUGCUUUUCUGAGGUCUAUACUUAUCAGAAAAGUAAAGUGGGCACACUUCAUCAGGAAAGAAAUCUUUUUUAAUUAAGAGCACCAUGCAUUCUUCGAACAACCUGCUUCUUCGAUGUCAAUGUUGAUCAACUGUCUUUUGAGUUGGUCGAAAUACCGUCGCAACUGUCUGGGUGAAUUUCAUGCUGAUUGAAGAUGUCAAAUUUUCAUUGGUCGAAGAAGCUCAAGAUGGCGUGUUACUUCACAAUACAUGGUGCUCGGGGACUAGCUGUGGGGGUAUAAACCCCUAUACCCUUACGGCUAGACUUGGGCCAGGAGACUUGGCCCAUUACGAGACAAGCUCAAAGCUUGAUCUGACAGCUUGGAGUUUAGUGCAAGGGAACAAGCCGUGAAGAUCAAGCAGGAUUCUAGUCGGUUAGAAUAGGAAUUGAUAUCGAACUAUCUAUGGCAAUUGUAACCGACUAGGAUUAGUUUCCAGAUCUGUAACCUUGCCCUCCGGACUAUAUAAGGAGGGGCAAGGGACCCCUCUAGGACAGAUUUAUUCUCUCAACACAAUCCAAUACAACCAGACGCAGGACGUAGGUAUUACGCCAACUCGGCGGCCGAACCUGGAUAAAAAGCUUGUCCGUGUCUUGCGUCACCAUCGAGUUUGUAGUUUGCGCACCGUCUACCGAUAAACUACUACCGUGGGUAUACCCCAAGGUAGACUGCCGACUAGCUUUCGUCGACAGCAUUUACCAUACCAUUUACUUUGUUGUUGUCUUCCGGAGUGAGACAUUGCAGAAUCAGGGUGGCAGCUGUUGCAUUGAGGUGAAAAUCUCUCUCAUCUUCGGAAGUCCACUCACUUGGAUUUUGCGGUGGAUUUACUCCAAUAUCCACUACUUCCCAGCAUCUUGCGUCAAUGAGAUGCAACUUCAUUCUAUGAGCCCAAUCGGUAUACCUAAUACCAUCAAAUUGAGGUAGCUUUCCAGGAUUGAUCAUCGGUAAUGUUGGAUUCUUGCUUGAGCUACUGUAAUCAAACCCAGUGUUGUUGUAGGUCUUUGACCCUUUGCUAGCAUCUUCAUUUCCACCUUCUCCAUCCGACUCAAGACCCCUUUUACCUAGGAGUUCUUUCAUCUUGUUUAGCUCUUCUUGCAUUUUCUUCAUCUGCUCUUUCUGCUGCAGCUGCAGGGAUGCUGUGAUCUGUGCUGUGAUUUGCUCAACGAUUUGUUGUUGAGUUGUUGGAUCCAUCUUGGCCAAUAUUAUUCCUCACGCGGUGAAGCGUUUGAACGAGGAACCUAGCUUUGAUACCAAUUGAAAGGAUCUAAUUGGCCUAGAGGGGGGGUGAAUAGGCGUAUCUUAAAACCUGAAACUCAAAAACUCAAGUUGUGGAAGUCAAAUGUCUGUCGGUACUACCGACAGUUUGGGCCGGUACUACUGGUGUCACACAGCCAGUAGUACCGACGCAAACUGCUGGUGCUACCGACUUCCUAAGACAGCUACGAAAUCAGAGUGUAAAGGGCUUAGAUUUCAGAUCUGAGUUUUACCCCACUUUCCUAGGUGUAGAAGAAGAUGUUGUUGAAGUCUCCUUAGCUUAGUUCUUCUCCACACCGUAGAUCGACCCUUGUUUACCUGUGGAAAAGAGAAAAGAGAGAGGAACACCAAGAACACAAACAAGGGUAGUCGAAGCUACCUCCACAGCAGGACAAGGUAUUUUUCCCGAGGUUCGGCAAUCUCCACUAAGGAGUUCCUACGUCCCCGUUGUUGAGGUGACCACGAAGGUCUGACCACUUAGGUCUCCUCCUCAAGCAACCACAAAGGUUGGCCUGAUGUUUCCACUAAGAAUCAAGGGGUAAUACAAACACUUCGGGGUGCCCUCACAAAUGAAUCAACACGGGCAACCACGAAGAACGCCUAGCCGGCUAGGGUUCCAAGAACCCAAGAGUAACGAACACAAACCAAACCGGCAAGACGAGGAACGGAGUGCUCAAGUCACAGAUCGAUGCUCCCAACUCUCUAAUCUCACUUCUCUAGCUCGAAUCUCUCAAGAAAUGAAGUCUAGGAGCAAGAGGGAGAGAGAGUUGGUGAGCCAAAGCUUGGAGACUGUUUUCUCAGAUGUGGAGUAGCUAGAAUGAGCAAGCCAACGGUUAGAAAAGAGGAGAGAGCUAUUUAUACUAGAGUACAGAACACUGGCCGGUACUACUAGUGCAAACACCAGUACCACCGGCUCCCCCAGAUCUAAACGUGAGAAAGCUGAGAAAGAUGCGAGAAAAAGGCCUACCGGUACUACCGGCCAGCGCCGGUACUACCGGUAGAAGGCCGGUACCACCGACAGUGCAAAAUCUCGCAAAACAUGAGUUCUGCGGGAUUUUUGCCUGCCGGUACUACCGGCGUUUCACCGGUACUACCGGCGGUAGCCGGUACCACCGGUCAAAGCCCGGUACUACCGGUAGUUCAUUUUCUCGCAAAACUCAGGAGUAGAGCUGGCACUGCCGGUACCACCGGCCCUGAGGGUCGGUACUACCGGCUCACCCUGGUAGAGAAGAAACUUUCUAGAAGUUCGUGUGUGCAAGUGUGUCUCUCAAAAGCAAGACCUAAGUUGACCUGAGCACCUUUAUCCUCAUCUUACCGACUCAAUUUGCAUCCCUCUUGAUAGUGCGGCGUUUCCUAUAACUCAAACAAGAAAAUAAAACUAGGUAGCUUUUUGAGUUGAAACGUUGCUUAUAUGAAGAAAUUUUGGGGGUGCUGUGAUUCACCAAAUGUGUUUGUUUGAUUCCAUCAAUGAACUAACACCUGUAGAUUACACUUGAUAGACAUGUUAGUUCCUAAUUUGAUUGUCAUUAAUUAUCAAAACCCACACAGGGGGCGAAUGCACUUACAAGAAACAACCAUGUGUUUGCAGUUUGCAGAUCAGACGAUACCUUUCCCAAAAGUAAUAGUGAAGAACCUUUGUGUCCGAGUUGGUACCUUAUAUGCCCCAGCAGACUUCGUAGUGGUAGAGACCGGAAAUGAUGAGAGAGCACCUAUCAUCCUAGGAAGGCCAUUCUUGAACACCACGGGAGCUAUCAUCUACGCCAGUGCUGCCAAGAUCAGUUUCUACGUCAAAGGGAAGAAGGAGACAUUUUUCUUCAAGAACAAGACUACACAAAUUCAAGAUCAAUCCAGACGUGAAUCAAGGAAGAGGACCAACAGGAGGAACAGGAACAAGCAAGUGUGGACCGAGUCAGCUAAGAUGGUCACUGUAGUUCAUGGAGGCCAAGAUCACCAACUUAAGUCACCGUUUUUGACCAAGAAGGACGACCCAGGAAUGCCAAGCAUUUACUGCUCCAUAAAUGGAUACAACUUCUACAAGACAAUUUGUGACACCGGAUCGGGCGUCAACAUAAUGGCCGCAGUCACCUAUCGGCUCUUGUUCGGGACCAUGCCCCUAAGACCAACAUACAUUCAGCUCCAGAUGGCAGAUCAGACAUUUCGAGAAGUUCAAGGAAUAGUAUCUGAUGUCCCAGUCAAAAUAGACGAUCACUUUGUCUACACAGACUUUCAAGUUGUUGACAUGGGAGAAGACGAGUAUGAUCCACCCAUCAUCCUUGGAAGACCGUUCCUCAGCACCGUUAAAGCAAUUAUCUACAUUGGAACUGGAGAAGUCCAUAUGCACUUCCCCUCAGAGAAGGUACGCCGUUAUUUUACUGACCCUGACUAUAUCAUUGAAGAAUCUAAGCAGGUCAGAAAGAGACACAACCGCAACCAGAAGAGGCAGAUCAUCAAGGACGGAUGGGCAGACUAUGAAGGAGAAGUUGUAAGGUCAGAAGACAUAGAGUUUAAACAGAAUUAUCCAGAGGAGAUUGAAGCACCGAGUCAGGUAUGGAAAAUGAAGAUAACUAUACAAGAAGAGGAGGCGCUGCCGGAAGUACCGACUACGCCACCCAACGAACCUCAGGACGAUUAAGAAAAUGGAGAGUCCCGUUCGGAGGACUUAAAAACACCGAACGCCUUGCCAAGAGGUAAACUUGGUAGUUAUCAUUUCCCUUUCAAUUAUUUCAAAUAGUUUACUUAGUUAAACAUGUUCAUACUAUCUUAAAAAGAAAAUAAAAAUGUGAAAAACAGUAAGCCCCAUGUGAGUAAACGAGUGGCAUAAAACCCAUAAGUACAUUCACUGUGGUGGAAUAAAAAUAAAAUAAAUAUUUUUCUGCUUUAUAAAACAAAAAUAUAAAAACAGGGAGUAACAAUUAUUAAGGAGUCUCAAGAUAAUAAAGGCUAGAUAUUUAUGCUAACACUUAAUCAGUUCCACAAGCUUUGUUGUCUAUUUGAGCUCCACAGAAUUUAAGAAUCAAGAAGACUAGCAGACGGAGGACAUUCUAAUCGCUGUCAGAAUGCUGCUGACUUUCAAAUACACCUCUGCCACCUGCUAGCUACAUCAAGAGAAAUUACGUCAAAAUUCAGCUUGGGGGAGAGCACCCCCAUUUAUCUCGAUAAGUAUUUCUAUCUAUCUAUCUUUAUACUUAUAUUAUUUUAGAAUAUUAAAAUACACAUAAACUAUAGAAAACCAAAUAAAGAUUUCAUGCUUCUAUAUAUAUUUGUCUUUUGCUUAGUGUGUUUAAUAAAUAAAUAAAGUGGCUAUGCUAAUCUGUAUCUAAAUAAAACUCAAGCAUGGAUAUGAUGAAUAGUUGCUCUGCCUAAUUUGCACAUUUUAAGUUCUCUCUCAAGUUUAGAUAUAACUGUUAUAAUUUAAAGCUUGCUCUAAGACCUAAACUUGUGGGAUGAAAACUUGAUCUCAAGUUUAAGUUGUUAACGGAUACGAUAUGGGAAGGUUGAGCUGCUGUUUAUCUAUUCCUAGAGAUGCUAGAAUUCUAGAGAAUUUUAUUUUUGAAAAUCUUUAAAAUGUUGCAUGAUGAGUUCCUGUAUGAUGAGAGUUUAAAUUCCUACCACAUCCAUAUAUACAUGCUUGUUAGACUUUGAGCCACACAUUUAUUAUUUACUGCUUAUGAGCAUUGAGUGUGGUCAAGCUGUGUAGACCCUUAGGAGCUUGUCAUGUGGUUAAAUCAAGAUUUCACUUGCACGUUCACUCAUAUAUAUGCUACUUCUACUCCAGAAGUACCAUCCACAUAUAUCCAUCCAUUUCCAUCUCCAGAAUCACCUAAAAAUAUUCUACUCCUAAUUCGGGAGAGAAUAGCCAAAAACAUCUGUGUUUUUCCCUUGUGAAAUAAAUGCUCAAGUUAUCUUGCUACUACCACUUGCUAUAUUAUCUCAAGAGAUGAGUGCUCUUUAAAAUAAAAAAAAAUACGAGGAAAUAAAAAGGAGCAAGUGCUCGGAACCUCGAAAGAAAAGAAAAAGAGUGAGACGAGAGGUAAAAAUGGACAAGUGUCCGACAGUAGAAUUAGGGGUACAGGAUACCCACCUGAGAAAAAAAAAUAAGAGCAUCUCAUUCUCCUCAUAAAAUCUCAGAAAGCAAGGAAGGUAUGUAUCCCCCUCAAAAGAGCAAAGUAGAAUUAGACUUCCACCACCAUUGUUUUCACCAUUGUUAUCAUCAUUAUCACCAUACACCAUUCAUUCACCACACAUGCACAUCUUGAUUUGACUUAUUGAUUUGUUUCUUUGGAUCCAUGGUUUGACUAUGCAAUAAAUGUCUUGUAAGUAUGUAUACUUUAUCUCCCACCUAUGAACUCCAGAUAUUAAAGCCUUAUUAGAGUAGGGUGAGAGAGAAGGCAAUGUCACUAUGCCUCAUACCACAAAUACCACAUAUCUUGAGAGAAGGCAUAUACCAUCACUGCCUUGGUAAGGAUCCAAAAAUACCACAAAAGAGAGAUCUGAGAGAAUCAUACAAGGAAUCUCUGAGUUUUAUUUGAAAAUCUGCAAAAACCCCAGAGCUAUAGCUGAUCAAGAAUAAGAGACAUGGCACUUGGCUAGACUGUUCUAUCUUUUAACCACUCAAGACAGAAGUGACAGUUACAAGUCCCAUGGUGAAGGUAAAGUAAGUAAGUUUUAAGUCUUGACAGUUUACUCUAACUCACAGAUGAGAUCUUAUUUAAAAGCAUGUGUACCGUCAAUUUUUAAAUAUAUUGCAACAACUUAUGAUCCAUAGCUGAGUCUAUCCUUGCUCAGGGACGAGCAAGAGGUAAGCUUGGGGGAGUUUGUUGACGGUCCUUAAGUAUCAAAUUUAAUUAUCAAAUAAAUAAAGAAAAGGAUCCAAAUGAAAUCAAGAUCUAGACUUAGGGUUUUAUUUGACAGAAUUCCACGAGUUUUGGUGUUUGUCUAUUUCUGCAGGGGGUUAUCAAGAAAUAUGGAAGAAAAGCCCACAUGACAGGAUUACGUAAAGGUAUUAACGUGCUGCGCAAUUAUCUUACAUCUAGAAGACUCCAGAAGCCACGAGACCGAAGCGGAGGCGAAACGGGGCCAGAGACAGGGCGCCCGCCCUGUCCUACUGGGCGCCCGCCCCCUCCAGGAGUCCAAUCAGGACUCUGCUUUGUGGGAGAUCUCCACCGACCUAAAGGAUGAAUCUAAACCAGACAAUCUAUGUCGGUUUGAUCCAAGGGCCUGUAUUCACUUGAAGGGACUAUAAAACCAGACCCCCUGGCCCCUGGAGGAGAGAGCCUCUCAACCCUAAUUCAUUGUUCCAUCAAGGGAGAAGAAGCCUCUGAUCAAGAUUAGAGCCACCACAUCAAUUAGAUAUCUAGAUUAGCAUAGCUACAUAGGAUUAGAACUAGAAGGAGUCAAUCUUCGAUUGGUUUCCGGAUCUGUCAAGAGGAUUCUUGGUAAUUCUCUAAUUGUGCUUCUAAUUGCUUUCUAAUUAUCUUUGUUCUUCAAUAUUAUGAAUAUGACUUUGUUCUACUUCAAUAUAUUGCUUAUGACUUUGCUCUACUUGCUUAUAUUCAAGAUUAUAUUGUUCUUAGUUUAUCAUAGUUAUGUACUUGGCUUAGUUAGAUUCGAUCUAUAUACAUGCUUAGGAUCGUAUAGCGUUUAUCCAUCGGAUCCAUGGGUAAAUGAUAGAUAUUGUGUAGGCAUGGUGCUUAUACCGUAUUUAUCUGCGAUUGUACCCAAUAUGCCAGAUCGUGGGGUGGUUCGUGAUAGUGACAGCUUCAUUGAUUCUUAUAUAGUCCCCCUCUCGUGUAUUGGGCUGGCAGAGCAACAUUAUUACAGGGGAGUGAUUGCUAUGUUUCUCAUAUUCCUUGCUAAUAUCACUAUGCAUGGGCGUAGUCUUGUAUCGCAAUGAUUGCUAAGUAUGCUUGCACUAACUAUGAUAUGCUAGACUAUAUAGUUGAGAAUAACUUAGGGAAUAUUCUUGUAGUUCGUUCUAAUACCAUGCUAAUGACUUUCUAGAGUAUCUAAUUGAGGUGCUUAUCAUAUUUAUUAUGUGGCUAGAUCAGAUUAGUUAUCCUUGUCACUAUUAUUAUUUCAUAUAUCUUUUAUGUGACACUUAUCCCUGUAUGAAGAGUUAGAUAUAAUGUUCUCAAUUAUACAUGCAAUGAUAGAUACUCAAUCUCAUAUUCUAUUCUGUAAUCAUUAGUGAUGAUUGCUAAUCCCUUCCCAGUGGUAAAAAUAUAAAUAACGAUACCUGGAAUACUUCCCGGUUAAAAUGCUGCAUCGGUAUUAAUCUGUGCGCUUGCAGAUCCCAUUCAUUAUUUAUUUAGAAGAGCAAUUGCAUAUUUCAAUACCGCGUCUCUCAUGUCAUGCUGGGGAUGACAACUUGGCUUAAGUGGUGUGAGGGAUAGGUUUGCCAUUUUUGGCACCGUUGCUAGAUUUAGAGAACUUAGUCUACUUUUGGUAAUGAUGUUAAGAAUACCCAACACAUAAGAGAUGCCACCUAAAGUAAUCUAUUUAUGAUUUAGAGCAAAGCUCUAGAUAAUAGUAUUGAAAGUUAAAAAGUCAAUGAGAAAAGUUUGGGUUUUAAAGAUAAUGAGAAGGACAAUAGCAGUUAUGCAAAGUCUAAAAAUGGAAAUUUUCCUGAUCCCAUCUGUGGACGACAUCUUACUUACUAGUAGUAAUGUUGGUCUAAAGUAAAGAAGAAGUUAUUGUCCUCAAGUUUCAAUAAGUAUAAUCUCGGUAAAGUGUCUUCCGUUUUAGAAACUGGAACUUGCCGAGAUAAAAGAAAGGGGUAUUAAAGAUGUUGCAAUGCAUGCUUGGAAAAGGUUCUAAAGAAAUAUAGCAUGCAAAUAUAUAUAUAUAUAAAUGUACGCCUGAUCCUAUGGUCAAGGGUAAGAGUUUUGAAAAGUGUAAGAAAGAACAGAUGGACGUCCAAUGUGCUUCAGCUGUUGGAAGCUUUUUAAGUGUAUGGAUAAAAUCUUACCCUGACAUAGUAUAUAUAUCCGGGAUGUUUUGGCAAAAGUCCAAUCCAGACAUAGAUCACUGGAAUGGAAUUGAGAGUGUCUUGCAAUGACGCAAGGACUUAUAGGCCUCAUGGUGACUAAGAAAGAACAAGUACUCUCAAAUAGUUGUGAGUACAAAUGUUUAAAUUUAGGCGAGACGUUUGGUGAAACCCACAUAGUAGCUAACGCUCGAAAUUGGAGUUUUAUUGUGGAAAAGCUCCAAAGAAACAGUUAUGGUGCCAUCACGAAUGCAUACCUAUAGUAUAGUUCAUUGUGAGGCUUAAAAGGCAGGCGAAAUGGUUAAGAAAACCUAUACCCGGAAUCGAUAAUGGUUGUCAACAGCAAUAACCAUUCAAGUAUUUCACUCCUAUGACAACGAGUCAAGUGUGUUGCCAAACACAUUGACACAAAGUUACACGUUGUAAUGGAGGCAGUCUGGAAUCAUAUUAAAAGUAUUGAGCGAGUGCUCACGGAUCCACCUACCAAAGGCUUACCACCCAGUGUGUUCAAAGAACGCAUAGUCGACAUGGGUUUAUGGUAAAGCCUAUGAUUUCCGGACAACAAAGGGCCCAAAGUUAAAGUUACUGUUUCAGAUCAGAGACAUACAUUGUAGCUGUCAAGUCUAUCGGCGAAAGACCGUGAUGAUGAAACAUGCUCUAUGCACUCAUCUGUGAUGGAACGAGUAAAAGGAAAAGUGUUAAAGUCAAAGUUUAAAAGUUAAAGUAAAAGUUGAGAUCAAGGGGGAGAAUGUUAGGUUGAUCUCUACCGGCCCAAGUCCAAAGACUGGGCCGGACCCUUGACCACGUCCUGAUCGGGGACAUUCAUUCCUCUAUGGGCUGGUGGGCCCCCGUCGCGUAGUGUAUAAAGAGAGGAUGGGGGCUAGGGCACAAAGGACGAGGUUCAUCGCAAUAGUGCCGCUAGCCACACCUAACCCUAGACCGAUCGAGGGGAGGCACUGCCAGCGACAGGAAGUCCGCCGCCGCCGCCACUGCCCCGACCACGAGCUUCUCUACCGACACGAAGGUAUGGUUCACCGUCCUAUUCUCUCUUUCUCCCCGGAUCUAUCUCUUCCUCCCCGGAUCUAUGCGAUUCCAAGUUGUUUAUCCUAAACAUAAAGUAAAUACCCACUAAUCUACACCUAGAACGAUCCAAAGAGUCUAACACGUGGUAGUCGUGGCGGCAGUGACGACGUUCGUGGUCCAAACGACGCGGCCUGCGGCGUCGGACAAGACGAUGUUGGUGGUGGUGGUGUCGUUGGCCAGCGCAAGCGACGGCGGCGGCAGCGUAGACGACGAGGAGUUAUUGCCGGAACGCUCGUCGACGAUGACCGGCGCGUCCCAGUUGGCGACCCACACCACCGUCUGUACGGGGAUGUUGUUGUACCAUAUGCCGACGUACUGCCCACCCGGCGUGGCGUUGGAAGGGGUGAAGAAGCCCAGCACGAAGGCGCCGCCGUGUCCGAUGGUCUCACCGGUGUCAGCGACUCCCCUUGGGUUAACUUGUCCCCGGCCGGUGAGCAGAAGCGCGGCAAGAGGAGGAGGAGCACGGCGGCGGCUGUGACUGUGAUGCAGGUGGAACGUGACCUGGUUCACACACAGGUUCAUCAGGUCAUCCGGUAGGGGUGCAUUAGUUUAAGGUGCAGGUGCAGCCAUGUGCUUUUAUUUGUCUUGGCUGUUGGCACUACGAUCCAGCAAGGUAGUGACAAAUGAAAUACUCCUACCUUGAGAUUGGGCCGGCAAGUGAUGAUGGCACGACGAUUGAAACUGCGGACCUCUCCCUCGGAAGCGUUGGGAGCCUGACACUUGGGCAGUUGUCGUCAGACGCACUUGCGGAGCCAGAAAUUAUGUAUAGGGGGGCAACUAAAAAAUUCAACUAAUCAAAAUUGAGUAUAACUGGUGACCAUCUAGCUAUAUGUAUUUUAAGAUCAAAUGUGUUAUUAUUUUGGUGGUAGACGAUAAACCAUUAAUAGCAAGAUGUUUGAGAUAAUUUCGUAAACUUUAAGAUCUGUGUCUCAGUUUUUCUAAGGUGCUUCAUUGUAUUAUCUAGUUAUUUGUACUUCCUUCAUCCCAAAUUAUAAAUUAUUCUAAGAAUUUUUGAGAAUCAAAGUAUCUCAAGUUUGACCAAAAUUAUAUAAAGAAUUAUAAAGAUUUAUGUCGCAAAUAGAUAUACUACAAAAAAACAUAAUUAAUGAAGAACCUAAUGGUACUUAGUUGGUAUCAUAAAUAUUAUGAUCUUAUCAUAUAAAUUUGGUCAAAUUUGAGAUACUUUGACUCUCCAAAUUUUUUAAGAUGACUUAUAAUUUAGAAUAGAUGGAGUAUGAUUUUAUUAUCUAGAUGAUAUUAAUAAGUAUAUAUAUCACAACAUGGUUAUAUUUCUCUUUUAAUAUAAAUAAAAAUCAUUAAUUUACACUAAUAAAAAAAUGUGUUGACAUGGACCAUGGCGGCGUAGUGGGAGGUGAUGAGGUGAACAAAGUUUGGUGAAAAUUUUUGCAAAGUGUUAUUAUAACACUUUCGUUUGUAUUUGAUAAUUAUUAUCCGAUCACAAUUACAGAUUAGGUUUAAAAGAUUCGUCUCACAGACAAACUGUACAAUUAGAUUUGAUAAGAUGGAGAAUUUUAACAAUUUUGUAAAAUAUUCCAGGAACUAAACAGGGCCCAAGAAACGGGUGGUGCGCGGACUAUUCUUGUGUGCAUGUGUCACAACGAAAUCGUCGUCAACAACUGCGUUGAACUCUCGUUGGGAGGUGACUGGGCACGAUGCGGUGACCGAAUUGGAGCGGAGAACAACUCUCGUUGAGAAACCACGGUUUCUGCUGUAUAUAUGCUAUAAGAUAUUCAACUAUUCAAGCAGCGCGUAGACUUUGCACUGUUCUUCCAAAGCAUGAUGUUAUUGCCUAGAGAAGUGAAGGUCACGAAACCAGGACAGCAAAGAAAAUAAACAAGACACGCUCCAAUCCUUGGUUACAAAAAACAAAGGACCAAUCUUCUCAGCAUGCAUGUGUCAUGCGCGCAAUGAAAUCUUCGCCAACACCAACAACCACACUGAAAUUCUACUUUAGAACGAAGCAGGCAGGCAUGACCGACCGGAUGCGACGUUGGAGUGGAAGCACGGUUCCUCGCGUGCCAUUCUCAAAUCCAAUAGCUGCUGACAAGUCACAAAUCGAGCUACUCCUUUGUCAUUUCAUUUCCAAGACACUGCUCCAAACCUCGGUGAACAUAUACAGUGUUUGAUUUGAGGGAGCAAAUAUAUGAAAUGGUGCAUCAUGAGUCUAUUCUUUUAUAUUUGGUGAAAUGAUUACAUUCCUAAUACUAGUACUAAAUAGUGAUUGUCAUAUGUUCAACAAUAUCUUGAACCAUGUUCAUGUACAUCGAAAUAGGACUAUCGUCCCUCUAUUGUUGUGAUAGUAAGGGAAUUUAUGGAGUUGUUUUCAUCCCUUAUUUGCCUCAUAUCAUUCCUCUAAUUUAAAGUAAAUGUUACUAAAAGUCUAACAAGAUUAGAUUUAUAAAUUUUAGAUAAUUUUAUAAAUAUAUAUUGAUUUUAUAAGUUUAUAAUGUUUAGUCAUAAAAUGACACAACUGAACAAGUUUGAGGACUUAAACGAGAUCUAGAUAAUACAACCAAACAAAUUCGAGGUUCUAAAUGAUCGAUUUGAAAGUUUAGAGUUUAGGGUGACACAGAUGAACAAGUUUGAGCCGGAUGACAUAGCUAAACAGUUUGAGAACUGUCAGCGCAAAAAUAGCGCGAAUCUGUUUGAUUAAGAGAUAGAGUAACACCCGAUAGAUGAAUAGUAAUUCGGUAAAAAAAAUUUCAAUCGAAUUGGUCCAGCAAAGCCCUUUUUUACUGAGUCCAACAAGCCCAUUAGAACUUACUCAGUCCAACAAGGCCAUGGCGAGGCCCGACCCAAGGUGGAAAUUUGGAUACACCCAGACCCAGAGUUUUACAUUCGCUAUAUAUAUUGAUUCACACGCAUCUCUCAUUAGGGUUUUGUGCUUCAGCCGCCACCGCCCGCAUCCGUCCGAGGAGCGAAAUCCCCCUACCUCUAACAUCGAUCCCCUCCUCCAACAUCCAUGGGAGACGAUCACUGUCCUCCCGAUGAUCCGGCGUCCAAGCACGACAUGUUCCCUGCCAAUAUCCUGAUUCCCCCGCCUAUGUACCCCGAGGAUAUUGAUCCCCUUCCGGACUCCAUCCUCUUCGAUCCGAUCGGCUACAUCAGCGACCGCACCAACCACACCACCGCCGGCGCCUUGAUUAAGGGCGGCAGGCGCAUCGAGGUGACAUUCUGGGUGGCCCACCCUCCACGCGCGUCCUACUUCUCCGUCCGCACCCCAGCUGGCCUGGAGAUCGGCGACCAUCCCGCGAUCGUCACCACGGAGAAGGACCUCGCCCUGCUCCGCGUCCCCUUCUGCCAUCCAAACUACAACUUCAACUCUACGGACAGUGACUACUUCGUCUAUGAGGCCGGCACCAAGCGCAAGCAGCCAAGGCUCAAGCUCAUCGCCAUGCCCCCCUAUCUCUCCAUCCCGGACAGCAACGUCGGCCUCCUGCGCUUCCGCCGACGCGGUAUGUUCUUAAUCGCCAUACUGUGUUGGACCUUCACCAUUGGGCAGUACGAUCUCCACCUGUACAGCUCCAAGACUAAGUCAUGGAGCAAAAGAUUGAUGUAUAUUGAUUCACCGGAAGCAGCAAAGAACUACACCUAUGCCAGCAAAGUUAUCUCCAUCGGAGGGGAACAAGGUUCAAUGGCGGGUUUGGUGGCUUGGGUUGAUCUGUGGAAUGGCAUCCUCAUCUGUGACUUACUCCAGGACAGCCAAAUUCUUCAAUACAUCCCAUUGCCGUCGCCGCGUGUGCCCACACUGCGCAGAGGUUCACCUCUGCAUGUUCGAGACAUCAAUGUCGUCGGAGGCUACAUCAUGUACUUCGAGAUGUGCCUCUACGUUGGACUAGACCUAGAGGAAGGUUGGGAGGGAGCUACAUCGAGGAUGAAGGUUUCUCGUACGGAGACAGAGUGGGAGGAGGGCUGCAGGAUCAAAGUUUGCAGUGACCCAACAUCUUCUCGAGUGCCCCCUAAUCUGCAGGAAGGCACUGUACUCAAAGAACCAGUGCUGAAGGGACGGCACGCAGGCUUUCCUGCUAUCAGCUUGCACGAUGACGAUGUUGUUUACAUCAUGGACAAACACAAAUUCCUGGACAAAAAGGCAUCAGUGGUAGCUGUUGAUAUGAAAAACCAGACUGUAAAAGGUGCAGCAGAUUUUGUCUCUGGUGUAUUCUUCGGUCUCACUCAAGCCUACAUUCCAAGUGGAAUUUCCAGAUAUAUGGGUCUUUGGUCCUCUACCAGGUAAUUAUGUGUUGUGGUAACAUUGUUAUAUGUUUGUGGUCUUAGGCUUGAGUUUUCUAGGAUCCUAGCCUUUGUUAACAAGGUCAAGUGUUUGGAACUGCUUAAUAAUAACAAACUAAAUUAUGGUAAAUGAGCAUGCUUGUAUUGGCAGAAAAGUCCUUUCAAAAUUUCAUCUUUGACUUUGAGUUAUUUAUGCUGUACAGUUGUUUAUAUUUGUAGUACGUUAUUACUGCAGAGUAAUGCAUCGAUGCCUGACCAAUGGUCCAAUAAGAUUCUCAUUUUCAUUAAUUCAUUUGUUAGAAAAUCUUGGAUGCAAUCAUACUAUUCUUUUGGUCGAUUUCCAACCAUAGUUUCUGCAGUUCACCCUGUUCAAAUAUUUACUAGGCUGGUUACAUGAUGCAAAAUAUGCACCUAAAAAGCAACAGUGUGUUCUGGAGCAUACAUGUGGUAGUUGGUCUUGCUUUCCUUGCGAGAUUUCAUUUUAUUCAUCGGAUUUAAGAUAAUUUCCAAGGAACACUACUUAAGCUGAAAAACUUUAGCUAGUUUGACUGGCGGAGCAAAGGCUAUAUAACCAUGUAAUCUAACUCGUAUUCUAGGACUGCAAUUGGUUGAUAAUUGUUUUAUUUGUGGGCGUGCUGCUUUGUGGCCAUUCUUAGAUGAUGAUGGUGGAAAGUUGUUUAUGAUCCGUUGUUUUUGCCCUAAAGCUGUUUUUUAGACUAACAUAUGCUAUUUUACUGGAUAGAAGCGAAGAGAAUGAUGCUGAAACAAGCAAGAACGGAAUUGCAAAAGGGAAGCAAGCGGUUCCUGAAGAGGGUGAGGCUUGGAGAAGAGGGCGCCGAUGGCGUUGAUCAACUGCAUUUAUGUAAGGUGAGGCUUGGAGAAGAGGGCGCCGAUGGCGUUGAUCAACUGCAUUUAUGUAAUGUAUGGUUCUGUGAGAUAGGGCAGUGGUGACGGCAUUUAUAUAUGGUCUACAGGCAUGUUAUGGAAAUGAUUCAAACAGCAGUCAUGGAUGUACUAAAACACUUAACAUCGAGAUGUGUGUUGCAAAAAAAAUUGGGUUGCAGUUAUUUUAAAAAAUGGGAUGCCCAGGAAAUUGCUCGUGUGGGCAAGGAUUAGUUGUGACUAUCUAUAUUUAUCCUUUAUAUAUGCAUCUCCUCAGCUCCUUAGAUUUUUUCUAACACCUCGAAUCUUGUCUUGGCCGAUGUAGGCCGGUGGAAAAGUGGCUUAUACCAUACUCCCUCUAUAUCAAAUUAAACUUUGUUUGGGGUUUGUAUGUUUGAUUUGAUUUGUAGAAAAUACAUGCAAUAUUUAUAUCUGUAAAUAAAUUUGUUAAAAAAUUAGAUUUAAAGAUCUUUUUAAUGAUACUUAUUAUGUAACAUAAAUAUUAAUAUCUUUUAAUAUAUAUUUAAUUAAAGUUAUUUUUUGGGAAACAAGGAUGACGGUUAUUUUUUGCGAAGCGAAAACGAUAAUUAUUUUGGAAUAGAGGCGUGGUUCGAAUGCUACUGGAUCAGUAGCAGUUCUUCCGAACAGGGCACAGCUCCAGGCAUGAAAUAUGUGGAGGAGCUACAAUACGCACGAUGGCAACCGCCUUGUUUCUUAGACCAGUCAUGGACCAUGGUCGACUACCGCCUUGUUUUUUGAUGAGCUACUCUGGCAGGUUAAAGUGUUUAGUUGGAACAGGGAUCCAUCAGAUUGGACAGUACUAACAGCGUGGCCUGACUACAAGUGUAGCAGGUACGGCUACUAAGGGUUGUCUGGAUACAGUGACAACACAGAGACUACCCCAACCUGCAAGUGCUUUCAAGGGUUUGAGCCUGUGGAUGGGGUAGAUUGGAGAAUGGAAUGCUGGCAGCUUCAAACAGGGCUGCCGAUGAAAGAAAGCACUGCAAUGUGGGGCGCCUUAUUCGUUUGGUCAAGACAGAAAAUAUUGUUGGCUGAUUUAUUGUGACUGAUAAGCCGAAUUUCUUGGCAUUGCCAGAUGAUAGGUAUGCAGGUGCCUGACAAAUUUGUGCGCAUCAGGAAGGAAGUCCUUAAGGAGUGUGAGGCACAAUGCAGAAAUAAUUGUUCAUGUGUGGCCUACCGCAUAUGCAAACAUGAAUAGCAGCAUAUCGAAGGAUGCUGAUCCAAGUAGGUGCCCUGUGUGGAUUGGUGAUCAGCAGCUAAUUGACACGCAUGUGAUAGGUACCAUUUCGUAUAGUACUGCUGGUGCUGACAGUCAAGACUCUCCGAGUUAAGUAUGUCAGGUACCAUUUCAUAUAACUUCUAUAUCAGAGGUUACACAAGGGAGGCGUGCCUCAGCAUCCCCACUUGUGGCAUCGUCCCCUUACAGUCUCCCCAUCAUGUCACCCCUAUCACCAUCAUCUUAAUAUUCAGGUCGCUUGCCUAAAAUGCUGAUAUUAUAGCACUAGUUUUCCAUGAAAAAAGAAAUAUAUGUUGACCAAUGAGACUUGACCUGCAACUUGUUACUAUUAAUUUUAUCUGCACUGUAAAAUAACCAAGAUCAUGUCAAUUUUGGUAAAAAUAGAAGAUAAUAGAAAUCAUGCAUGACAGUGGCAACUAGUUUUAAAUUUGCCUCACCCUACAAUCAUAUGCUGAUCAUCGUAUGGCUUCAUGCAUAUUGCAGCAAUGUAUUUGUAUCAAGAACACAUCAAAUAUGUUUCUUAUUUUCUUCUGAUCAUAAUUUCUCAUACAACACCUACUUAAGGUGGCAUCUAAUUCCUAUUGGUUAUUAUAUUAACAAAGAAGGUACUAUUGUGUAACAUAAGAUUGUACACUUGUUUGGCUGUUUGAAGGUUGAGGUCUGCAGUAGUAUGAUAUUAAACUUGGUGCUAUUAUAUGAAUAAAGAUAUGCACUGGUUUCAGGUGAAAGGACAAAUGUAAUAUGGGUUUGCAGGUUUAAAGGUAUGCUUUCCAUUCUGUAUACUAACUGCAGUUACUUAGAAAAAAUGCUCACCAACUUGUAUGAACAGGAAGAAAAAGAAAUGCAGAAAACCACAAGAUACUAAUGCAGUUAAAGAGCUAAAACAAUUACAUCAAUGCUGCAUCACAGAAAUGCAUACCUUCUCAGGCCUUUUAACUUGCUCCUCUCAGUUUCUCUUCUGGUUAGAGGCAAUCCUCGCAGCAAGUUGAAAAGAGAUAUUCGGGUAAUUCCGAUUAGAUGUACUUACACAAAUAAACAUUGAUUCUGGCACUUGCAAGAUAGGCAGGAUAACACAUAAUAAAGUUCAGUCACAUCACAAUGAUCUAGAAAUCACACACAAAACACAUGAAACACUUACAAACCUGAGUUUGAGUAUCUCACAAGUCACAAUCAUAGUAGGUUCUCACACACAAACACAACAAACAUUAAUCCACGAUACAGAGAAUCUAAGUUCAAUCACACAAACACAUUUAAAUUUAAGCUGCAUAACUAUCAUGCGAGUUUUUCAUGAUGCAGACUUCAGGGAUUUUGCAGGUACGCAGACACCAAAGAACAACUCCUGCUUCAUAAAGGAAGCCCCUCUUCAUCUUGAUUCUUGAGAUACGAGGAGCCUAAGCCUGAGAAUGAGAAUCGAAAACAAAAUCAAAAUCAUAUCAGAUCAAAGUUGAUAUCACUUGGCAAAAAUGUAUUUUGGCACAAAUGUAUUUCUCCAUGCAAAGAAAAUUCUUUGACUCACAUCCUCCUCUUGCUGCAAGAGUAAUGAUUGCUCUAACAUUGGAUCCUCCAAGAAAUUUGAUGGGCUACAAUACAGGUAAACAAAUGUUAUUAAAAAUUAGACAAUUACAAGUACACAUUUGCUAAGGACAAAGCAUGCAGCAGGAGCUUAGGGCUGUGGGAGUCUACCAGCUUGAAGAAUUUUUAUAUGCAUUCCAGAAUGCAAGAACCCUACAAAACAAUAUCUCAUUGUUGGAAUGCCCUCCACACAGAAGCUAGUAUAGAAAAGCACAAAACAUAAUUGAAUGGACUUACAUUCCUUUGAAGGAAUCAGUUGUAGCUAGAGUGGUGAAGACCCGCACAAUAUAUGACCCCACAUACAUGGAAGCAGCAAGCAUAGUCUCUUCGAGUGAAUUCAUGUACUGCUUCCGCGGCUUUUGAUUUGAAUCGGCGAUUCUUCCAUCAUGGCCCAGAAGUGCCCUUCUCUUCUCCUUGGUCCUAUCCCUGGCGUGCUCAAAUAGGUGUCUCAUGAAUUCUAUGAAGGACUCCAGAUUGUCUACAUAGGGUCCUGUGUGUAGAUAUUUAUCAUACUCUUCCGACUCCAGCACUUCACCCUUUAGAAUGCGUAACUCUGUGCGUUGAUUCUCUUCAGCCUUCUUAUUCUUGAACCCGAACACUUCAACAAGCAUAGAGUUACCUGAACUUUCUAUCUUCCUCAUCCAUCCGAAAAUUUGAGAUCUGUCCUUCUCCAGAUUUAUCUUGAAUACUGCAUCCUCAUCACCUUCGUCAUAAGAACACAAGGCAUUGUGUAGACCUGACAGGAAACUUGCUGUGACCACUGGAGGUUUCAGGAAAGGGUGAUGGCAUACUAAAUCACGUAGAUUCUCCACCAAGUGAGGAUCAGAAUAGAAAGAAGGAAACUGCUUCAUUUUUCUUAGCAUCGUAUCAAAUUCCAUAAAGAAGGGAAUGAAGUACUUCUUGGAAGGCAACUUUGAUAGAAUAGACUCUGCAAAACGCAAGAAAUCUUUUCUAGCUGCUCUUAACAACUUAUCUCGGCCAGCAAUCCUUUGCGGAGAUUUGCAAAACAGAAAACUUCUUCCAUUGAAGACCUCAAUGUCUGAAAUUCCAAAUUCUCCGUCCCAGGAAAAACCUCUCAUAUGGUUUUUUGUCAUUUCCCAGAGUAUUUUCUGUAGCAUGGAGCAGGCAGCUGGAGUCGGUAUUGCUGUGGAACGCUUCUCGCCAAAGACUUUCAUUUCUUUUACCAGAGUGAUGGAAUCAAGAAACAGUUCAAACGUUUGAUGACUGCAUGCACAUAUUUUUUUUAAAAAAAAUUAUUCAUACCAUACUCGUUAAGCUAAAGUGGUAACAUCAGACCCACAUAUAUUAAACAGUACUUAGGGCAGUUACCUCAUUGGGAGCUCCAAAAACUUUAGAGUGAGUUUCUUGGCUAAUUCUGGUUCCUGUGGAAAGGACUCCACCAUAUAUUUUCUUGCAGCUCUAGUUAAAUGUUUCUUUAACCUAUUGCACAAUAAAUUGAAUUCUUGAGCACCCAAUGGAAUGAACUGGCAAAAAGAAUGUGAGACAGUAAAUCUCACCUCUUAUAAUGGCUGCACACUCCCAUAGCAAGGUUCCUUGAGUAUCUUCCAAGGUGUUCAUAUGGCACAAGUAGAACAUUAGAUCCAGAACCUUCAACCAUCGCAGCCAACUGGCAGUGGUAAUAGGGUUUUGGUGCUCCAGCAGGGAAACUGGACAUAAUAAUAUUUAUAGUAAGCAAGAAAUAAGAGUCACAUAUAAUGCUUGUUAAGGAAUUUUUAGACUAUGUACAGAAUGCACAUGUGAAAGAAUUAUACGUACUUAGCCAAAAAGUUCCCGAAGUGUUUUGCCACUUCCACAUCUCCUUGUGCCAUUGUAACUUGCUUAUAAUCAAGAACCUUACCUCCCUUUAGUUUUUCAUGCCACUGGACACCAUAAAUCCACAAAUUAGAAGGAUACAAAUCAAUGCAACUGGAUGUGUGUGUGGUGGUGGUGGGUGGGGAGGGAGGUACGCACAACUAAUGAAAAGCCUUGUCACACAAAGAUUUGGAAGAAAAAAGAAACCAGAUUUUUGAUAAAUUUCUAUAUGUAAUUGCUUCCAUGAACCAUAAAAACGUUAGAACAGAGCCACCUCUUCAUGAAUUCCGAAGGAAAUUUGUAGAAUUUUAAUAAAACUUCUAGAUGGAAUUGCUACAAGGUAACAACCAAAUAAUGUCACAGCACCUAAUAGCUACCGAAAAGCCUUGCCAUCACAUAGAGCAACAUCUUGAUGAAUUCCGAAGAAAAUUUUCAGAACUUCAAUAAUUUUCUAUGUGCAAUUGGUAGCAGGUGGCAUGCAAAUACAGUUAUAAAAUCUAGGAGCUACAGGGCGUAAUUUUACCUGUUCCACCUUGCUGAGAGGAGGGACUGGGUCAACUGGGUCCUGUGCAGUGGAUGUCGACCCAGUGACAUUCACGGUAGAGGCCUGAUCGGGGCCUAGGGGCGGAGGCACCUCGCACAACUAAUGAAAAGCCUUGUCACACAAAGAUUUGGAAGAAAAAAGAAACCAGAUUUUUGAUAAAUUUCUAUAUGUAAUUGCUUCCAUGAACCAUAAAAACGUUAGAACAGAGCCACCUCUUCAUGAAUUCCGAAGGAAAUUUGUAGAAUUUUAAUAAAACUUCUAGAUGGAAUUGCUACAAGGUAACAACCAAAUAAUGUCACAGCACCUAAUAGCUACCGAAAAGCCUUGCCAUCACAUAGAGCAACAUCUUGAUGAAUUCCGAAGAAAAUUUUCAGAACUUCAAUAAUUUUCUAUGUGCAAUUGGUAGCAGGUGGCAUGCGAAUACAGUUAUAAAAUCUAGGAGCUACAGGGCGUAAUUUUACCUGUUCCACCUUGCUGAGAGGAGGGACUGGGUCCUGUGCAGUGGAUGUCGACCCAGUGACAUUCACGGUAGAGGCCUGAUCGGGGCCUAGGGGCGGAGGCACCUUGACAUCCUUGGUGAUGGCUUGGGGUGGUGGUGAUUGUGUCCUCUGUUGGAGGCCUGGUGAGAGGAGCUUUCCUGAAGAAAGCAUCAGCGAGAUGUUAUUCAGUUCUUCUUCUACCAUUUUGAACGCUGGCUUUAGUUCCAUCUUUUUCUUCUGAUCUUCGUUUAUAGCCUUUCCUGCAGCACUCAUCUCCUCAAUGGAAGUCGCAUAUUUGAUCUUCUUUCGUAUGGCUCGGAGUCUUUUCGAAAUCAGAUCGUCUGCGGAUGGCGGGUCGUUCCCCACGCCGGGGACCUCGGCCACCGCCGGCGCCGCCUGGACGGAGACCUCGGCCACCGCCGAUGCCGAUGCCGAUGCCUCCGCCGAGCCCGAGCCCGAGUCCGAGCCCGAGCCCGAGCCCGUCAAUGGUACUACCUUUGUGACCGCUUCGGAGGCAACACGCGAGCCCUCGCCCUCCCUAAUCCCCAAGCCCGACGCGACUUUCUUGUCCCCCAUGGCGGAGAGGAGGGGGCAAGAUGGAGAGGGCCGGGGAGAGAGAUGGAGACGGCGGGGGUGGGAGCUGGACACGCCGCGGAGAGCGCGAGAUGCUUUUUUUUUUCCCUUAAACCCUAGCCCAAUGGUGGUUCGACGGCUCGACGCGGACAAGCCAACCAAAAGACCCGUUGCGGACUUGCGCUGUGCUCCUAUUGGACUCUGUCUAGGACGCGUCGGAGUUGGCUCGGGCGCUCGGUGGGGGAAUGCCUGGCUGCGCGAGGAGCGGAUGUAGGACGGGUUGAUCGUGAAUCUGUAAAUGUAAAUUUCAAGAUAAUUUUUAUAAAUUAUUUAUAAACCCAUAAAAUCUAAGCAUAUUAUAUUAUUUAUAAUAGAUUUGCGGUUAACCGGUCUUGCAUCCCUGGAGGAGCCCAACUCCGCACUGUUUGUCUGAUGGUGAUGGACUGAUGGUGGAGGUCUGUGGGACGAGAUCCGGUGACACGCUGCAACUUUACCUCCAUCCUUCGACUCCCAAUUCCGAGUUUCCGACCAAACGACUCUUCUAAGCAAAUUUUCCAGAACUGCCUGCUCCAUCACCCUUGACAUGCAUGAUGCAUGUACUUGUGCGGGCUCGUCUCCAUAGCCGAUGAGCGAUACCAGGUGACAGUGUCAUAGCCGAGAAAGCAACUCGAUCUUCAUGCGAACUCGUUCAGCCCAUGCUGUGACUGCCCGGUUGCUUCAUGCGCGCCCACAUGCCGCCUACUCCACCAUCAGCUGUUUGGUGUACGUCUUCCUGAAGACCUGAACCCGGCAAUCCGCCCACCAGAUCAUCAAGCCUACGUCUAGACUCCAUGUCGCCUCUUAUAGCUCCACUCCGGGCCGUACGCAACGUCGGCGCUCUGCCCGAGCACGAGCAGGAAGCCCGUGGGCCGUGGCUUGCCGAGAACACGACCUAGGUGCUCGACGGCUUCUUCAUUUGUCGCACCAUGAGCAUGCUAAGGGUCUACCACGAAUAUAUACACACACACACACUCUAUGUAGAAUAUUGCACCGCAAGUUAAAACUGAGUAGAAAAAAAUACUAAGCAAUACUGGAGAGUGUUCAAUAUCAUCUUGUCUAACACCUAGGACCACGAAAUACUGAAUAAUACUGAAACACGAAUACUGAACGAUACUUAAUUUUGCUCAGUAUAACAGUUUGGUGUAGAAUAGUCAGAGGAAUUAUAAUUUAUUCUUUGAUUGUUGAUAAUUACAAUGUGAAGCUCCCACAUAUAUAUAUAUAGGGCUUGUUUGGAUUUUAUUCUCAUAGUGAAAUUCUGGAUUCAAGAUACUGAAUAUACUGAAUAUAGAAUCUGAAUACAAAUGAGUGGUGUUUUGAAUCUUAUUUUUAUAGCGAUUCUUGCAUUUUCAUAGUGAAAAUCUCCAAAUACUAGGUUUAGGGUAGAUAGUUGGAUUCUAAAACACAAGUGUUUGGAUCAUAUUCUCAUUUUCACCCCCAUUCUCCUUUUUAAUUAUUAGGAGAUUGAAAGAGCAUCUAGGCCCCUAAUGGUUUCGGUGAUUAAUGACAAUGUUGAUUACUGUGACUAACGUGUGUUUUGCAGAGGCAAAGUCAUUAGUGAGGUCAUAGUAAUAGGUACUCGAUGAAUAGGGACGUACAUGCCUACUUAAUAGUGGAAAUCGUUUCGGUUUUCAAAGGAUGGAUGGACAUCAUCAAGAAUAGACUAGGUCUAAGUGUCAUAUGGUGAAGAAGGGCACUUAGAGUAGUUUAGGACUUUGUUUUCCUUUGACCGUACUAUUAAGAGGGGCUUUGAUCUAGUAGCUUGACUUAGGCAAGGCUUUAGGUUUAAGUGUGGUGCACACUUGGUAACCUAGCACUAGGCAGCUCAGAGAUAGUCCUUAGAUCGAGAGGAACAAACUUCAUUUUGGAACGAUCGCGUUUCGACGAAGUUUGGGUGCCUAAGUAGGCACCGGACGCUGCACCGGACGCUCUGUGAGUGCGUCCGGUGAGGUCCUUUAGCCGUUAGAGUGCUCGGUGCCUAGGGUUAGGCACCGGACGUUAGCACCGGACUCACCGGGUAGCAUCCGCUCCUAAACUCAGAGAAGUUGUAAACUUCCCCCGAGCACCGGACGCUAGCACCGGACUCGCCGGGUAGCGUCUGGUCUUAAACUCAGAGAGGUUGUAAACUUCCUCGGAGCACCGGACGGUAGCACUGGACGCUGGGAAGUAGCAUCCGGUGACCUGUCAGAGACAGUACAGUUAGCCGUUGAGGUAUCACCGGACGCUCGGUGCGGAGCGUCCGGUGCAACAUCAACAGCGUCCGAUGACCCCGUUUUCAGUGUAAAACGGUUGGCCGAUCCCUGGACUUCGUGGGGUGUAUUUAUACUCCUUUACCUCGUCCAUGGGAGGUCUCUUGCCUAUUUGUUCAGUUGAGAAUCACCUUGUGGAGCAAGAGAGAAGCAAGAUCCUAGAGAGGAUUGAGAUUUGAGAGAUUUCUUAUGAGAAUCCUUCUCUAGUAGAAUUUCAAGAGUCAAGUGUGCACACUAGUAGAAAAGAGUACAACGCCGACGCGCCCUUUCUAUACUACAGGCGGUUGUAGUUAUCACGCGGCUGUGGUGUAAAAAGGGCGGUGUCAGAACCACGAACCGCCUGUGAAGAUGCAUUUUCACAGGCGGUUUAACUGAACCGCCUGUAGAAAUCAUGCAUUUCUACAGGCGGUUGUCCUAAUGAACCGCCACUAAAAAUCAUAUUUCUACAGGCGGUUUUCCUAACAAAACCGCCUGUAGAAAUCAUGUAUUUCUACAGGCGGUUCUCCUAAGAAACCGCCUGUAAAAAUCAUAUUUCUACAGGCAGUUUGUUAAGAAAGCCGCCUCUAGAAAUAAUUUGAAAUUAAAUUUUUUGAGUUUUUCAAAUGAUCUUGUUUGAAAAAACUGUCAACAUGAAAGUUGUAGAUCUCGAAAAGUUAUGAAACUUUGUAGUUGAUAAUUUUUUCAUUUGACAUCAUCUUGUCGUCGAAAACAACGUUUGAAUUUCUUAAAUUUGAAAUUCAAAUUUUGUAAAUGACCUCGGAUGGAAAAACUUUAAAUAUAAAAGUUGUAGAUCUUAAAAAGUUAUGAAACUUUAUAGUUGACAACUUUUCCAUUGGAAUCCGUUUAGGGCCUCAAAUAAUCAAUAUAUGCUCGGUUUGUGAUAGUAUGUGGUGAACUAAACUCUAAUAUAGACACAAGUGAGUGAUAGGUGGAGUGGUAGAGGAGGGUAUGCGCGAGGGUGAUCUUUUUUUUCUAUUUUUAAAAGUCGAUUUUUCUAUUUUCUGUAAAAACAUUUCUACAGGCGGUUCACAUAACUAAACCGCCUGUAGAAAUUUAUUUUUACAGGCGGUUCUUAGUUACCGCAUGUAGAAAUGUCCCAUUUCUACUAGCCUCCAGCGCAGGCGGUGCUGAAAAACGCCAGUAGAAAUGGGUUUCCAGCCGCCUGUACAGUAUGGGUGUGUACUAGUGGCAUCCACCACUCUCAAGAGCCUUGUUUGGGUCAAGUGAGAGUUCUUUGCUUGUUACUUUUGGUGAUCGCCAUUACAUAGACGGUUCGGUGGUGAUUGGAGGCACGAAGACCAUCCGGAGUUCUUGUGGGUGGCUCGUGUCAAGCUUGUGAGCGGUUAUGGGCGAUUCACCGCAACGGCGUGUCGAAGAAUCAGCCCGUAGAGAGCACUUGGUACUUGCGCGGACCAAGGGGGAGCAAGACCCUUGCGCGGGUGCUCCAACGAGGACUAGUGGAGAGUGGCGACUCUCCGAUACCUCGACAAAACAUCGCCGAGCAUUUUCUUCCACUACUCCUUUACUUUCUAGCAUUUACUUUGUGUUUUUACAUUUUUAGAAUUGUCAUGCUAGAAUAGGAUUGGAACUAUGUUGCAAAACUUUUAUCCGGUAGCUUUUUAGUCACAUUAGGCACAAGGGGUGAAAUUAGAGCUUAUAGGUUGCUUAAAUUUUUAGAGAAGGCCAAUUCACCUUCCCUCUUGAACAUUUUGAUCCUUUCAGAGAUCUAGACAGGGCCGUAAUCCAGACAAAAUCAAAGAGUUUGAUAAGAGCUCACACAAUGGACAUAUUAGGAUCUAUUUGGUAGAGCUCCUAGAGCAACUUCUAGAUUGAAUCUACAAUGGACAUAUUAGGGUCUAUUUGGUAGAGCUCGUAGAGCAACUUCUAGACUAAAUCUAGAAGGAGCUCUGCAAAAUAGUUUCUUAGUGAGAAGUGAUUCUCUGAAAUAAACUUGGAGGCUAAGAGCUAAACAAAGUAGCUUAUCCUAAUUCACUCCACACAUAAAAGCAAUUGUAUGCAUAGAGUAUAUCCUAGAGUUAAAUAAUUCUGAAUUUUACCUAAAUGUAUAUAAAAGCAAUCAAUAUUUAUUAAUGUACGAUAUGUAUAGAUUAAUUAUAUAUAUUUUUAAAUUAGUUUAUUUGAAGAUAUAAAUUUUUAAGAUUUAAAUUUAGAAUUGUUUGUUUUUUCAGAAACGAGAUUUACAGUUUUUUCAGAUCGAGCUGGAGGUGAUCCACUCCCGCUGGGCCAUGCUGGGCGCGCUCGGCUGCGUCUUCCCCGAGCUGCUCGCCCGCAACGGCGUCAAGUUCGGCGAGGCCGUCUGGUUCAAGGCCGGCUCCCAGAUCUUCAGCGAGGGCGGCCUGGACUACCUGGGCAACCCCAGCCUGAUCCACGCGCAGAGCAUCCUCGCCAUCUGGGCCGUCCAGGUCGUGCUCAUGGGCGCCGUCGAGGGCUACCGCGUUGCCGGCGGGCCGCUCGGCGAGGUCGUCGACCCGCUCUACCCAGGCGGCAGCUUCGACCCCCUCGGCCUGGCCGACGACCCCGAGGCCUUCGCCGAGCUCAAGGUGAAGGAGCUCAAGAACGGCCGCCUCGCCAUGUUCUCCAUGUUCGGC